rnacentral:lncRNA from 1 species
UCAUGGUGAAGCUAGAAGGUGAGGAUGGAAGCAAGAUGGAUGCUGCAGCAGCUUGUCACUUGGACACCUCUGACUGGGACCCGACCAUGUUUCUUUCAAGGUGCUCGGCAUCAAGCCAGGCACUGAACCUGUUUGCCAUUUCCUUCCAGAGACUCACUUGGCUUUCAUUUCGACUUCUCUCGGAGCAGCCAUGUGAUCAUGAUCCUGAACCAUGUUGGAUAAUCUGCAUGCCAUUGUGUUUACGUGUAAUUGUGUUUUGUGUGUUAGUAACGAACGCAUUCUGUAGUUUUAAAUAAGGUGAUUUUCAACCAUGUACGUCCUCUAAUCAUGUGGUGCUUUUAUCAGCAGUGUUAUUGUAGUAAACCAGUCUAUGUUUUUGUAAUGUUGUUUCAACCAUGUCCCUCCUCUUAUCAUGUGGUGCUUUUAUUAGCAGUGUCAUUGUAGUUAACCAAUCUAUGUUUUUGUAAUGUUGUUUUUUUUGCGAUAAAGCAUUUCUUAAAACCUAUAAUACCGUGCACGUUAAAAAAAAAGACAAAAAGAAGAAAAAGAGGAUUUGAAAUCAUUAAAACUAGGAAUUGUAUACAAUAAGAUCAUUUAAUUUUGAUAAAAGGCGGUCACAAUUACUUACAACCAUAUGAUGUGAAAUUUGAUAGCUUGGAUAUGCUACAAAGUUCAAAAAAAUUUCUUUUGAAACUUGAGCUUGUUCAAAGGAAUAAAUGCAGCCACCCAAUUUCACAUCCAAUGGUCAAAAUUGAUUGUGACCACCUUGUACCAUAGGUAAAUGGUCUCAUUCUAUACUUUUCCUAAAAACAAUGUAUCUUGUAACUAUUAUUUGGAACAUCCAUUUUUUAAAAUUUUAAGUGUUUAUAGAUUUGGUCCAUCUACAUCAUUUUUUAAGUUGUAAAAAUUCACAAUUAUGGGUGUAUACAUAUUAUCAAUAUUAACGCAAGACUUUCUAGCACAUUGCUGAGUGUGCUUGAUAUUUAUUGUUAAGGUGGGUACCAUAUGCAAACCACCCAAAAUAAAGUAAGGAAACGUAUACAAUAAGACUAUUUACUUUUGAUACAAGGAGGUCACAAAUAUCACUGAUCGCUAGAUUUGAAAUUGAGUCGUUGUAGAUGUGCAAUUAUUUGAGCACAAGGUCCAAAAUAAAAUUUUUUAAAUGUUGUGACACAUUUUCAUCAUUUGGAUUUCACAUCCAAUUACUAAACGUGAUUAUGACCUCCUCGUACAAAAAUAAUCUCGUAGUAUAUCAUCAUCAUCAUCGUCAAUGCUUUUUUCCAUCUAAUUGGGGCUGGCUACACAAAACUUGGUUUGCCAGUAUGCUCUAUUAAGGGUCAUACCCUCAAUGAGAUUAUAAGUCCCCAUAUCUUUUUUCAUGGUAUAUAAUCCCAAAAAAUAAUUAUGUACCAAUGAUGGUCAAAUAUCAGCAAUAUUUUCAAGUAUAACGACAACUACAUAUUGAUGCAAAGGUAAAUUUACUGCCAAGCAAAGAUUGAAUAAUAAAGGCCUAUUCAUUUUUUAAGUUAGUUCAUUUGCUCAUAUUUAUGAAUCCCCAUUUUUUAACCUAACUUACAAUCAAAUCCAAUGCAACGACCGAAGUUAGAUGGGACCAAAGGAGUGCAAUAACAUGAAGAAAUAUGAAUCAAUAUUGUUAGAUUCGCUUCAAAGUCAUACCCUCGGUGAGGCUAUAACUCCUCAUAUCUCUUUUCAUGGUAUAUAAUCUCAAAAAAUAAUAUCGCCUUAUAUGUUAUGUACCAAUGAUGGUCAAAUAUCAGCAAUAUUUUCAAGUAUAACGACAGCUACAUAUCGAUGCAAAGGCCAAUUUACUGGCUAGCAAAUAUUGAAUAAUAAAGGCCUCUUCAUUUAUGAAGUUUGUUCAUUUGCUGAUACAUGAAUCCCCAUUUUUUAACAAGUUACAAUCCAAUCCAACGCAACUGUCAAAGUUAGUUGGAACCAAUGGAGUGUAUGAAUCAAUGUUGUUAGAUUCGCUUUAGAGUCUUUUUUGGUUUGACGAGAAAAAUGAAGCAAUUCGGUAUUUUGGCUGAUUCAAAGGAAGACUUUAGAAUUUUUUUAAUUUAAUAUAAAUAGAUUAGAUAUUUAUACAAAAUAUAUAAAACCAGCGUUUUAAAAAUCGCUGAGUCGAACCGGACUCGCCCGGUUCGACUCGGAAUUCAUGAAAAUGGACCGGAUCGGUUUAAAAAUCGAGAGAACCGGACGAUUCCGCACAGUGACUCGCCGAUUCACUGUGCGGAAUCGGCGAGUCCGUGAAGAACACGGGUUGCACAGUGUUCUUCACGGAUUCUUUCAAAUUUGUCAUUUUUUUAUCAUUUUUUUUGUUUUUUUUGGCAUGUGAUCUGAUUUGCAGGCUGUAAACAGCUUUAUUCAGCUUUUUNNNNNNNNNNNNNNNNNNNNNNNNNNNNNNNNNNNNNNNNNNNNNNNNNNNNNNNNNNNNNNNNNNNNNNNNNNNNNNNNNNNNNNNNNNNNNNNNNNNNNNNNNNNNNNNNNNNNNNNNNNNNNNNNNNNNNNNNNNNNNNNNNNNNNNNNNNNNNNNNNNNNNNNNNNNNNNNNNNNNNNNNNNNNNNNNNNNNNNNNNNNNNNNNNNNNNNNNNNNNNNNNNNNNNNNNNNNNNNNNNNNNNNNNNNNNNNNNNNNNNNNNNNNNNNNNNNNNNNNNNNNNNNNNNNNNNNNNNNNNNNNNNNNNNNNNNNNNNNNNNNNNNNNNNNNNNNNNNNNNNNNNNNNNNNNNNNNNNNNNNNNNNNNNNNNNNNNNNNNNNNNNNNNNNNNNNNNNNNNNNNNNNNNNNNNNNNNNNNNNNNNNNNNNNNNNNNNNNNNNNNNNNNNNNNNNNNNNNNNNNNNNNNNNNNNNNNNNNNNNNNNNNNNNNNNNNNNNNNNNNNNNNNNNNNNNNNNNNNNNNNNNNNNNNNNNNNNNNNNNNNNNNNNNNNNNNNNNNNNNNNNNNNNNNNNNNNNNNNNNNNNNNNNNNNNNNNNNNNNNNNNNNNNNNNNNNNNNNNNNNNNNNNNNNNNNNNNNNNNNNNNNNNNNNNNNNNNNNNNNNNNNNNNNNNNNNNNNNNNNNNNNNNNNNNNNNNNNNNNNNNNNNNNNNNNNNNNNNNNNNNNNNNNNNNNNNNNNNNNNNNNNNNNNNNNNNNNNNNNNNNNNNNNNNNNNNNNNNNNNNNNNNNNNNNNNNNNNNNNNNNNNNNNNNNNNNNNNNNNNNNNNNNNNNNNNNNNNNNNNNNNNNNNNNNNNNNNNNNNNNNNNNNNNNNNNNNNNNNNNNNNNNNNNNNNNNNNNNNNNNNNNNNNNNNNNNNNNNNNNNNNNNNNNNNNNNNNNNNNNNNNNNNNNNNNNNNNNNNNNNNNNNNNNNNNNNNNNNNNNNNNNNNNNNNNNNNNNNNNNNNNNNNNNNNNNNNNNNNNNNNNNNNNNNNNNNNNNNNNNNNNNNNNNNNNNNNNNNNNNNNNNNNNNNNNNNNNNNNNNNNNNNNNNNNNNNNNNNNNNNNNNNNNNNNNNNNNNNNNNNNNNNNNNNNNNNNNNNNNNNNNNNNNNNNNNNNNNNNNNNNNNNNNNNNNNNNNNNNNNNNNNNNNNNNNNNNNNNNNNNNNNNNNNNNNNNNNNNNNNNNNNNNNNNNNNNNNNNNNNNNNNNNNNNNNNNNNNNNNNNNNNNNNNNNNNNNNNNNNNNNNNNNNNNNNNNNNNNNNNNNNNNNNNNNNNNNNNNNNNNNNNNNNNNNNNNNNNNNNNNNNNNNNNNNNNNNNNNNNNNNNNNNNNNNNNNNNNNNNNNNNNNNNNNNNNNNNNNNNNNNNNNNNNNNNNNNNNNNNNNNNNNNNNNNNNNNNNNNNNNNNNNNNNNNNNNNNNNNNNNNNNNNNNNNNNNNNNNNNNNNNNNNNNNNNNNNNNNNNNNNNNNNNNNNNNNNNNNNNNNNNNNNNNNNNNNNNNNNNNNNNNNNNNNNNNNNNNNNNNNNNNNNNNNNNNNNNNNNNNNNNNNNNNNNNNNNNNNNNNNNNNNNNNNNNNNNNNNNNNNNNNNNNNNNNNNNNNNNNNNNNNNNNNNNNNNNNNNNNNNNNNNNNNNNNNNNNNNNNNNNNNNNNNNNNNNNNNNNNNNNNNNNNNNNNNNNNNNNNNNNNNNNNNNNNNNNNNNNNNNNNNNNNNNNNNNNNNNNNNNNNNNNNNNNNNNNNNNNNNNNNNNNNNNNNNNNNNNNNNNNNNNNNNNNNNNNNNNNNNNNNNNNNNNNNNNNNNNNNNNNNNNNNNNNNNNNNNNNNNNNNNNNNNNNNNNNNNNNNNNNNNNNNNNNNNNNNNNNNNNNNNNNNNNNNNNNNNNNNNNNNNNNNNNNNNNNNNNNNNNNNNNNNNNNNNNNNNNNNNNNNNNNNNNNNNNNNNNNNNNNNNNNNNNNNNNNNNNNNNNNNNNNNNNNNNNNNNNNNNNNNNNNNNNNNNNNNNNNNNNNNNNNNNNNNNNNNNNNNNNNNNNNNNNNNNNNNNNNNNNGCUUUAUUCUGUCCGAUUCACCCGAUUCCGAUCCGGAUCCGGGUCACCGAUCCGGGUCACCGAUCCGGUUUUUAAACCAUUGUAUAAAACUAAUGAAAAAUAUUAAAAAUACGUUUUAAAAUAAACAAAACAUACUUUUAUAUAGAUAUUUCUUUGCUUCAACAGAAUAAGCCAAGUCAUCUCGAAGUAGACCCGAAUUUGACUGAAGCAGCCCAAAUCUAAUCGAAGCGGCAACAUCUGGCUUCGCUUCCGGUAGGUCUAGGCCUAAAAUCCAAAGGCUUCGGCCUUUUCAGUCGAAACGAAGCGAAUUUCACAACACUGAUAUGAAUUUGUGUGUGAGAGAGAGUAUACUACUAGUCAAAAGCACAAAAUACAUGAGAGAGAGAGUAACCUUAUGAAAGAGAGAGUACUAAAAAACAAAAACAGUACUAACAAUAAAACAUGGAGAGAGAGAGACGUACCCACGCCAAAAGUAAGAGAUUCACAAAUCCAAUAAAAACUUCCAUUACUAAUUUAGAAUAUAAAUAUGGUUAUGUGGGAGUUGUGGAUAAAAUUCAGCUAUUUAUAAUUAAAAAUAUAGCAGCAAUUUAUUGUUGCCCGUAAAUGCAAAAAGCCUUUUUUACAAGUGGAUAGAAACAUAUUUAUUUUUCUGUUAUCCCACUCAAAAUGUCAAAUCUUUUAUUUAUUUAACCAAUAUUCAAUUAAUACUAUUUUUUAGCUUACCAAUAAAUUGUCAUUAGAUGUUUUACUAUUCAUAAAAUACAUUCUUUCAUGAGAAGUGCCCAUGUAUCUUAUAUUUCCUGUACAAAGACAACUCUAUAGGAUAAAUGCAUAAUCAAUCUUAACUGAAUGUCAAAACCUUCUAUAAGUGAAUGCCAAAACUUUCUAGAAAAAAAAAAUGAUGAAGUAAUAUUUUGAUAGUUCGAUAUUGAUAUUUAUGAGCUGGAACUUUCAUCUAGUUUUGGAUCUCCUUCUUUUGAUAUUUUUUGACUGAUUUAGAUCAAGCUGAUAUAAAAACACAUGUUAUGCAACCUUUUUUUUGCUGAUUACUCACAAUUGUGUUUCCAUGCUCAUGUUUGUGAUAUAAUUCACUGAUGAGAUUCCUUCUCAUAUUCCUGAAAUUUUAUGCAGUAAUGAAUGGCAUAGCUAGUGAGUUUAUGGUUGGUUUCUCGCCUAGUGAAUGGCAUGCCUAAUGAAUGGGUUUUAAGAAAUAUGAAAUAAAAAGAGAAAAAUGAAAAACAAUGUGCCUUGAAUGGUAUGUUUGUUCUCUAGCAUGCAAUGUAGUAUGGAGUAUUACAAGUGAAUAGGGUGGAAUGAUAAUAGUCUUUCUGUAAAAUUGCUAGCCCUAAUACAUGGCAGCAUGUUUGCGGUGAUUCUUUUCUCAGCUCCUAAUAAAAAAAAAUUUGUUUGAAAGUCAGGUUGAGCACCUCUCAAUAAAAAAUUUGUUUCUCUCAAUCCUCAAAGAAUUUUUUCUUGAAAUCUUUUGUGUUGAAAACUAGACUAAAAACCAAAUAAUAACAUCAUAGUUUGAAUCUCAAGUAAUAUUUUUCUUCAUAGAAAUAAAUAAGUGACAUUCACGUCACAAAAUAAAUCAUACUGCAGAAUUUCAGGAUGAACACUAUCGAGUAAAAUUAUAUUUUCUCUCUACCAUCAUGGAGUUUCCCUUUCAAACCAAUUUUGUUUGAAAUUAGACACAUAAUAGUAACACAUAUAUUUUCACAAGCCUUAUAUCACUAUUUUAAGUUGGCUUGAUAAAUAUAGAUAUUCAUGUCUUCAAUGAAAGACAUACCAAAUUACAGAAAAUUCAGGAUGACCUCUUUUCAAUCUAAAAUUUUUAUUCCUAUCUUCUCAUAGAUAUUUCUCUCUCAAAUAAAUUUUAUUACAAAUUAAACUCAAAAUGGAAGUUUAAAAACUUGGUGUGAACCAUAAACAUUCCGUUAAGAAUAGAAAUUAAAUCUCAACUUCUAAGUCAUGAAAAUAAAUUUCGUUGAAGAAAAUAGCACUUGCGCAUCCUUCAAUAAAUUGAUCAUAUCUUUCAAACCACAAGGAAUUUCUUAAUGAAAAUUUUUUUGUUUGAAAGUAGACUCAAUUUUAUGCUUCACAUUCCAAUUUCAGCUAGAAAUAAAAUCAUAUGAAUCGUGAGAAAAAUCAUGGAACUCUUAAUUUCUAUAGGAUCUCCCACUGAAAUUUUACAAAUAAAUCCUAUUUUUUAAUGCACAAAAUAUCACUGAAGUAUGUAAUAAAAAAAUACCUCAUUUUAUUCUUCAUAUCUCUACUCCAAAAUGGCCCAGAAUACUUAUUAUGCAGAGUGCAUUUUCAGUGUUGGAAUAUUUCAAUAAUUCUUAACCGUGAGUGUAUUUCUUAACCUCAAAGGUCAAUAGCCUUCUUAUAUCCUAUUUCCAAGCUUGAUUUAAACUCAAUAAAGAGAAAAGAUAAUUAAGUCUACUUAUCUGAGUCACCACUAUCUGAUCGUACGGGAUCAACGGUCUAGCUUCCAUCUCGAAUUGAAAAAGCAAAUUUCGGCCACGCCACACCAAUGGAACUUGAACCCCUUUGAUUACAAACUCAAACCCUAGGUGAAUUCUAUUAGCAACCUAGUUUGAGAGAGAUAGAUUAUUUUUUUGCUAAAUCCGUAGUCAUAAAUCCAUAUUUGAGAGAUAAGAGAGAAGAACUCCAUAACUUAAAUCUUUAGGUUCUUUCACAAUGCGAGAGAGAGAGAGAUCAAACAUGAGAGAGAUAAACUUUCUUAAUAGAGAGAGAUAAAAAGAUAAGGUAUAAAGAUUUUUUGGCAGAAACAAUAUCUUUUUAUAGGGUUUCUUAGGGUUUUUUUUGGCUUGCCUCUUCUUGUGAGAUUGAAGAUAGACCAUCGAUCAAGGGUGACUUGUGGGGUGAAAGAUCUGAGCCAUUCAUUCCAUAUAUGGGCCAUCAACAUUAUGGAAGGCGCAUAAACCAUGAUCUCACUUUCCUAAACUAUUUCCUCAUCAAUAGAAAUUAAAUAAAUUAAAUAUAAUCAAAAUAUUGUACAUACCAUAAAUAGCACAAGUCUACUCAUUCUAUCCACAAAAUAUUUCAAAGAUAUAUCAAGUCAAUAUUUAGUCAAUAUCUUCCAACCAUAUGGCCACAUGCUAUAUCACCAAAAAAUAAGAAAGAGAAUAAGGAUGGGGCGUGCCACCCAAGGGAGGCACUCAUGGGCCCCACCUUCUAAAAAUAUGGCAGGCCCAUAUGCACAAUGGACCCUCAUGAUAUUUUUAUUUAUAUAAAAUUAAUAAAAAAAUUUAGAAUAUUAUUUGAAUAUUUAAACAAUUGUAAAAUCAAUAUAUUUAAUUUUAUAAAUCCAAAAAUUCUUAAUAAAAUAUCCAGGGGUUCAUAAAAAUUCAAAUAAUAAUCUUAAAAUAAUUUUCAUCAUAAAACAAGCAUAAUUAAAUUAAUUUGAUGGGAAAAGGAUCCAUAUGGUUUAGGAAUCAACAAUCAUGGGGUAGACCACCUGCAACUAUGGACUACAGACCACACUUACUUUAUCAGACCAACCCAGUGUUUCUCAUGACCCACAGUCCAAGCAGGAGCUCAUUAGUGGGUCACCAAAGUCCGGCUGAUGAGCCAAGGGAUUGCAAUCCCAGUCUGUGGAUUUAAGGUCCUCCCCUAGAGAUAAGUCAAAGUCACCAAGACCUUAUGCGACCACAACUGUAUGGCGCAUAGGGGUAUCUCUCGCAUAUACAUACGCUUCACCCUAAAAGCUGGAUUUCUGGCUUUCGCGAACGAUCUAUCAAUAUGCAUGCCGUGUGGUGGUACAUGGAUGAGGUUUUGACCGCCGUCUCUGUAGGCCACCAUCACACACAAGGGUCACACAGUCCCUCGGCUCACCAUCCGGGCAUAUUCUCCGACCUCAUCAAGGGCUAACCCAUUAAAACCCUUCUCGGUUUGUUCUUUAUGCCCAGGUAACAUACGUUUUUCUCAACCACAGUCCAGUAUCUGCAAACAUCGUAUGCUUAGUAUGGCCCACGAGGGAUCACACUCCCACUGAAUUCAUGUUCCACUAUAUUAUUUCAUUUUACAAGCACUCAUAAGGCCUUUAAAGGCUACAUAAACCCAACACUUCUUUCUUCUUAAGGCAAUGUGGAGAUAAUAUAAAUUGUAUUGUUACAUGAACUUUUGCAUCUAUGUGUAUGCACUUUGAUCUAUUAUAAUACUUUUCUCAAGAAAACUUUUACUUCAAAUAGUUGUGUGUUCCCUAUAUUAAUGCUUUCAUUAUACCGAAUGCUAAUAAAUUUCCGUACUCUCAUCAAGUUUCAUGUAUAUCGUUUUAAAAACCACGAUGGCUAUCGUUUAUGUUACUCUUCUAAAUGGUGAAGAAAUAAAGUAUGUCAUAUAGAAUCCCAAACAUGACUAAACUUUGUUCGAGAGCAUAGUAUAAAUGGGUGCAACAAAUUUGCGGAGAAGGAUUGGAAAUUAAUAUGCAGCUUCAUGUGUGAGGAGUAUAGAUCUGUAUUUUGCAUAGAUAUGCUAAAAAACAGAGUCAAAUGUUUGAAGUAUAAGUAUAGGAAUGUUAAAGAGCUCCUUCAAAAAUUUGGUUUCCAUUUUGAUGAAGGUACUAGGAGAAUAACUGGGCCAGGUUGGGAUGAGUAUGUUUAGGUAAAUUUUAAAUAUAGGUGCAAUUUUUAUUUUAAAAAACCCAAUGCUGGGACAACUAACAUUUACAAAUUGUAUGUACAUCGGCUAACAAAGCUAAUGGGAACUCGUUCAGCGUUAUUUUGCCUCCUCAGCAGUUUAUGGAUCAAGCUUUCGCAGAGGGCAUUGGCAUAACGUAGACAUUGGAAUAAUUAUUUUACUAAUAUCAUUUGUGUUCUAGUGAUAAGAACAUAUGCGAAGUGUAUUUUGUGACUUCUAUGGGAAUUUUUAUUUUACUUUUUGUUAUCUAACUUCGUAAACAUUUUUGUUAUGUAAUGAGAUGCAAUUUUACGGAUAUGAUGUGAUACACGAUGUGUACGUAGAGAGAAACUGAGACCGAAAGAAAUAAUCAUAAUUUAACCUAUAAAAUACCGAAAAUAUGAUCCGAACCAUGUAAUUUAUUUCUUAUAUUAUUGAUAACUUAUUCUCAAAAAACAUUUUCUAUUUGCCAUGUAUUAGUACAAAAUGAUCAACUUAUAGGAUCAACGACUAAACUGCAUUAAUAGUAAACAACCAAAACCUAGUUUUCAUAUUUAUGGUGCCAAACAAUGUAAAAUACUAGACUUUAUAGAAACUGGGUUCUAGCAGCCACUCAACCAACAUUGUGCUCAAAACCAGUUUUUAUAUAUAUUAGAAUCAACUGAAAUAAGUAUUGAGAAAAACCCCAGGAUUUCUGUAUUGGGGGAGUAUAUCCUACAUUUACUUCCUAGAAUAAAACUCUAUAUACUAGUAAUUUUUUUAGGAUUUCAAAUUUUGGAAUGGAACCUCCACAACCAAGUCAUGAUCAUCAUCAUCGUCAAAGCUUUUUUUUCAAAUUAGUUGGGGUCAUAUGAAGUAUGGUCUACCAUUUUAUCAUAUUAAGGGUCAUACCCUCAAUGAAGCCAUAAUCCCUUAUAUUUUUUCUCACUACUUCCAACCAUAUCCUUUCGGGUCUACCCUUGUCUUUUUGUAUCCUUCCACUUGAACUAACUCAUACUUCGUAAUAGGUGUCGUACUGGGUCGGCGCCAUACAUUGUUAGCUCAUCUAAGUCUUAUCGCCAAUUGUUGUCACACCUAAAAUUUUUCAAAUGUAUUCAUUUCGAAUUUUAUCCUUUCUUAUUUUAUCAUUCAUCCAUCUUAACAUCAUCAUCUAUACUACACUCAUUCUAUUGGUAUAUUGUUUUUUGACCAGCCAACAUUUUGUCUCAUAGCAUAAAACUAAUCUCAUAAUUAUCCUAUAGAACUUGCCCUUCAGCUUCAUUAGUAUGAGACAAUUACAUAAAAGUUUAGUUGUACAUCUGCACUUCACCACCUAACUCUAAUUCUAUGUGCGACAUCUUUCUCAAAAAAUAGUCCUAUAUGGUAAGAAAGGGGUAGAAAUAGUGUUUGUACAUAAUUUUCUCUAUAUUAUCAAAUCCCUAAUAUAUAUAUAUAUAUAUAUAAGUAUUGACACUAUGAGACCCUCCCACACCCAUGUUAGUAGGACCCCAAAGGAUCACCAUUAAAUUUUGAUGCAGAUCUCUAGAAAGUUAUCACAUGGGUGCUAGACUUUGGUGAAUGGGUUUAUUGAUAACUUUUCUAGAGAUCUGUGUCAACAUUUAAUGGUGGCAAUUUGGUGUCCUACUCACAUGGGUGUGAAAGGGUCUCAUAGUAUAAUUAUUAUAUAUAUAUAUAUAUGAACAGUGAUUUCGUCUACUCUUAUCACCGUCCAAAGUUCAUCGUACGGUCACGAUUUUUCGGCACUGUUUUUUUUUUUUUAAUAAAUCGAAAUGACCUGAAAUUUGGAGGAUAUAUACAUCUUAAUGAGUGUAUCUAAUAAAAAUAUAUUAAAAAAAAAAUUAUCCGCAAAAAAAAUUGACCAAAAUAACGCUAAUUUUUUCAUGUAAAAUAUUUUUUUUUAUAUUUUUCAAAAAUUCCCCUAUUUUUGAUGAAUACACAUUCCAAAUUUUAGGUUAUUUCGAUUUGUAAAAAAAAAAUUGAAAAAUGAAACACUACAAAAAAAUCAUGAAAACGCGAUGAAUUUUGGACGGUGAUGGGGAUAGGCGGAAUCACUAUCUAUUUUUGCCGAUGGGCAUUGCAUAUUGUUUUCUUAUAUAUAUAUAUAUAUAUAUAUGGGAUAUUCAAAUUACAAAGGUUCAUAGACAGAGAUGUGGGAAGAGUGGGUUUAUUAAUUUUGUUGUCUAUUUUUUAAAAAAAGUUACUUUUGUAUAGCAACUUUGUAUAUAUUUCUUAUAAGAACAAAGGGUAUUUUUAGUUCAUUCCCCAUAAGGGGUAAAAUUAGGAUAUUUUAACUAAAGGAAGAAGAACACUAACUUACCAAANNNNNNNNNNNNNNNNNNNNAUAUAGGAAAAGAUGAUAUUAGCCUUCUAGCUCAUAUGAACAUAUGAAUCCAACAGCCUACAUUGAAUCUGGACCGAUCUGACGAUCACGGAUGUCCAGUAGUACUUGAAUUUUAUUUAUUUUUCUACAAAUCCAAAUCAUUUGAAAUUUUAGGUGUGUAUUCUUCUCAGGCGCACCUAAUAAAAAUAUAAAACAAAUUAUCCAUAAAUAAAAUGACUAAAAUACCCCCUGAAAUAUUUUGGGAGUAUAUUAAUCAAUAUUUUUCAUGUAAAAUAUUUUUUUGAUAUUUUUCAAAUAUUCUCCUAUUUUUUAUGAACACACACUCAAAAUUUCAAGUGAUUUAGAUUUAUAGAAAAAAAAAAUUUAAUUGAAAUAAAUGCAACCACUCAAUUUCACAUUCGAUGGUCAAGAUUUAUUGUGACUACUUUGUACCAUUGGUAAAUGGUCCCAUUAUAUAUUUUUCCCUUGUCUCUAUAUGUAUAUAUGUUUGGUUGGGCCAUCCUUUUUCCUAACCGACCCAAUUAGGUUAGAAUAUAGAUAGAGCAGUGGUUUAAAAAACGGAUCGGUGAUUUGGAUCGGGAAUCCCAAAAACCGAUCAGGAUCGGCGAAUUGGUGAUCCGGAUCGGGAGUCGGGCUAAAUCGCUCUGAUUAAGCCUUAAAAAAAUUCAAAAAAAUUAUUAAAGUUCAUUAUAAAUGUUGUUUUUUAUGAAUCCAAUAAGAAAUGAGGGUCCUACAUUAUUAACUUUCAUUGUUUUUUUCAGUUUAUGAAUAUUGAGAUGUUCUUUCCCUGUAUGAACUUAUGUUGACCAUCAAAUUUACAUCACACAAAAAAAAUCAUAGAAUUAUCGUGGAUUAACUAUAUAAUCACAUAUGGACUACAAUAAAGAGUUACCUAAAUUGAUGAAAAAUUGGUCACUAAAAUAUCGAAUUGGCGGAAAACCCUAAUCCGCUAAAAAAACCUAAAUUAUUACAACCUAACUAACUAUAAUAUUACAUGCCAACAAUAUUGUAUAAUUAUUUUAUCAUAUAAAUAAUAACAAAUCCAAAAUAUUUUAUAAUAUCAUCUAAUAUAAAAUGUAUUAUUGACAGCUGUAAGAAAAAUAAUACCUACAUGAUUUAUAAUAAAAAAAAUUAAUAAAUAAAAUAAAAGAUUUGGUUAUUAAUGUAGAAAUUAUUAAAAUGCGUACCAAUUUUCUUUAAUUUUUUAGGUUUCUAUAAUAAAUUAAUGGAAGAGAUUGUUAGUAGAAAGAGAGAGAUUUCAAAUGGCCUCAUUGUAUGAAUCCUAUCUUUAAAUUAAUAUUACUAAAUUUAUGUUAAAGACCAUUAUGUUAUAAAAAUAAAAAAUAUAAUUAGACCAUUUUAUUGCGACGUUGUAUGAAGAAAUACCUUUUAUUUUUUAACAAGAAAUACUUAUUGUGUUAUCUUCUUUUUUUUUUUACAAGAAAAAUAUGAUACUUGUUGAUUAUCUUUUCUUUUUUUUUUGACAAAAGAAGGAGAUGUUAUACUACAUUUUUUUUUACUUGUUGUAUUACUUUUUAUUUUUAUUUACAAGAAAAAUAAAAAAUGAUGCUGCCAAAGUACAUUUUAUUUUUUUAUGCCUUUUGUUUUAUUUUUUUUGCAAGAAAUCCUUGUUAUAUUACCUUGUAUUUUUUGUACAAGAAAAAUAAAAAAAAAUGUUGUAUUAUCUUUUUUAUCUUUAUCUUGAAAAGACUUUUAUUUUAUAUUUUUUCUAUUUUUUACAACAGUAUUUUUUGCUUUUGUUUAUUUUUUGACAACAAAUUGUAUUUUUUACAAGAAAAGUAAAAAAAUGUUGUAUUAUCUUUUUUAUCUUUAUCUUGAAAAUUUUUUUAUUUUAUAUUUUUUCUAUUUUCUUACAACAGUAUUUUCUGCCUUUGUUUAUUUUUUUUUACAACAAAAUUUUUUUUGUAGUUUUUUGUUGUGCGCUAAGGGGUUCGAACUCAAAAAAAAAAAGAAAAUGUUAUGUGCUAAGGGGUUCGAAGUCAAAAUAUUUUUUGGUGUUUGAACUCAAGACAUACACUUGAAAAUCACUGUUGUCCACCAACACGGCUACGUCGCCACAUGUGAUAUUUAUAACGUCUAUAAUAAUAUAUAAUCAAUCAUCUUGUUUUAAUGAUUUUUUGUAGGAAUUAUCCCACAUCUAAGGAUAAGUGUUGCUUGUUUUCCUAUAGAUUCAUGUAGCGAAGACACUCCAUUGCGCGUAUAGAAAAAGAGAGGGAAGCAAACCUGAUGUGAGUUUACACGUGUAGCCACAUGUCACUCGUAAGUUGGCCACAUGUCAGUGCCGUGAGGCCGAGGGAAGCAGGCAUUGGUUAAGCAUCACGUAAUAGCCACGAAAAUAAGAAAGCGAGCCUAAUGUAAACUUAGCGUUGACAAUGAUUCGCAAGGCUCGGUUUGGCUGAAAAACCAGUUGGGUCAUGGGCCAAGGGCCUAUGGGUUGCACACCGGUGCCUGGGCUUGGGGCCCGGAUGAACGGCCACUCGGCCUAGGGCCACAACCAUGUUAGCCCAACCUUGUAUUUUCUUUUUUUUUUCUUUUUUUUUUUUUAUUUAAAAUAUCUAUUCAGUUAGGGGCCCUUUGGCCCAUCUGAUCCGGCCAGCCUAACAAACAAACCCAGUCGCCAACCUUAGUCAAACAUGACGUGACAAAGGACAAUGUUAGAGGAGUCAUGUCUAUAAGCCGUGGUGUAUGGAAGUCAUAAUGAAGAUAAUAAAGCAUGGUCACUAAAGAAUCCUACUGGGAUAGGAGGGUAAUAUCUAAGGAGGGUUUGGAAAUAGUUUUGAGCAAAGUUUCAAGCCAUCUUAUCAUUGAUAUAAGGGUGUCAGGCCCAUAGUUAGGAAAUUGGCUAUUAAUCGUCGAUUUUUUUUAAAAAUCGGAAUUUUUUAAAAAACGUUAAAAAGAGCUUUUUUUAAAAAAAUUUCAUUAAAAAAACUUGUUUUUUCCUAAUAACGUUAAAACACGUUUUUUUGGAGAACGAAUUAAACGGGCCUAAAAAAACAUAUUUUUGCUUGUGUUUUUUUUUAAAAGAGAAACAAAUUUUUUCUUGCUAUGUGUAAUUUAAAAAAAAAAAACAAUAUUAUUUCCAAAAAAAAAAAAUCCUAAAAUGAAAAUUUUUAUCCCCAAUUGAUUUAUGUAGUGUUAGGGUUUAUUGUCUUAGGGUUAUGCUAAAAUCACGUUCCUCUUCUUCAAAACCUCAUUUACAGAUUGAAGGUAUGAUUUUUUUUUUUUUUUUCUUUUUAACUUAAACAUGUCAAUGCUCAGUAGUUAUUUUGCAAAUGAAAUAUUGUUUGCUUGUAAAUUUAUAGAGGAAAUUAUUGUGUAUAGAAAUAAUAUAGAUGCAGAGUAAAGAAAACCAUAUCGAUCCAAAAUCCAAAUUUUUGUGAUGAAUAAUAUAUGCAUGCAUUAAACUUUUUUACUCCUGCAAAUUAAAGAAAUAUACAUUAAAAAUAUAUAUAAUCAGAUUAAACCUUCGAUAUUUAGGGCAUCGCUAAAUACAUACAAAUAACUAAAAAGAAAAAAAAAAUCUUAAAAUCAGCAAACCUAAUUUUAUGCUCUUGCAAAUUUCAUAAUCUUCAUGCUCCUGCAAAUUUCAGAAAAAGAACUCCGUCUUCUUGCUCCUGCAAUUACAGAGAAAAACCCCAUUUCAUUUUCUCUCUCUAACAGAAAAACCCCCUUUCAAUUUCUUUUUCUUUUUUUCUCUCUAAUAGAAAACCCCCUUUCAAUUUCUAUUUCAUUUUCUCUCUCUAAUAGAAAACCCCCUUUCAAUUUCUCUCGCAGAUAAAACCCCCUUUCAAUUUCUCUCUCUAACAUAGAAACCCCAUCUCUCUCUAACAUAGAAAUCCCCUUUCAUUUUCUAAUCCUUUCAGUUCCAGCCCAUCCUCCCCUUUCAGCUCCAGGCAUCUCCUUGCUUUCAAUGGAGCAGCUAUUCAGCUCCAGGCCUCUCUCUGUUCUCAAUGAAGCAACGAUUACCCAUACUCUCCCUUUCAGCUCCAGCCUAUCCUCCCCUUUCAGCUCCAGCCCUCUCGCUAUUUUGAAGGAAACAGAAAUUACCCAUAGUCUUCAGGCAUAUCCCUAUUUUCAACGAUAUUUGUUUUCAAUGAAAACAAGAAUAUAAAGUAUAAAACCUUAUUUUUAACCAUAGUUACAAAAUGACUAAACCUUGGUUAAAGCAUUUAAUGAAAAAAAAAUUGUACCUUUUUUUGGGUAUGUUGAUACUUGCUGAAGCAUUUAAGUAGAUUUGGGUAUGUUGAUAUUAAGUAGAUUUUGGGUACGUUGAUAUUUAAGUAGAUUUGAUAUUUAAUUGUAUCUUCUUUUUUUUUGGUAUGUUGAUAUUUAAGUAUAUUUGAUAUUUGUUAAAGUAUUCAAAGUGAAAAUUUAUAUGGUGUAUGUUGGGUAUGUUGAUAUUUAAGUAUAUUUGAUAUUUGUUGAAGUAUUCAAAGUGAAAAUUAUAUGGUGUAUGUUGGGUAUGUUGAUAUUAAAGUAGAUUUGAUAUUUGUAAAAAAAAAAUUGUGUUUUUUUUUGGGUAUGUUGAUAUUUAAGAAGAUUUGAUAUUUGUUGAAGUAUUUAAUGUAAAACUUUAUAUGGUGUACUUUUUUUGGGUUUUUUUUAAGUAGGUGUGAUCUUUGUUAAAUUAUUUAAUGUGAAAAUUUAUAUCGUGCAUUUUUUUUUUUUGGUAUGUACUAAGUAGGUGUGAUGUUGGUUAAAACAUCUAAUGAAGAUAUUCAUAUGGUGUAUUUAUCAUGAACUUAUUAUUUUAUUUUUUUAUAAAGAGCAUGAACGUCUAACGUGUGUACACUUAUAUAUUAUUAUUUUUUAUUUGUUAAAAAACAGGAAAGAAGAUACAAUGGUUAGGUCAAAAGAUCCAUUUUGGGAUUAUUGUGAAGAAAGAAGACAUAAAUUGUAUUGCAAUUUUUGCGGUGAAGGAUUUUCCGUCGGGAUAACAAGAUUUAAAUAUCACUUGUCAAGAGAACAAGAGAAUGAUAUAAAAGUUGGUCCUCAAGUACCAGAUGAUGUACAAGCUAUAGCUGUUUCUGUGACACACGAGGUAUCUUCUAAGCCUCCAAAGAAGAACAAAAUUAUAUCAUAUGUUCAAAAUGUUUAUCAAUGUUCGAUAAACUUAGGUACAUCUACUGUCAGUUCCCGUUUGCAAAAAAGUUCUUUACCUUCAUUGUUGAAUAAGAAAAAUAAAGUUUUGUUGACAAAGAAGUUGCUCGUGCGUUUAUUAUGAAUAAUAUUGCAUUUAAUGUUAUUAAUGCACGAUCAUUUGUCAAUAUCAUAAAUGCAUGUAUCAAUUUUGGUCCUAGCUACACAUUGGCAAGUUAUUCUUCUGUUCGCACUAAAUUGGUAUAAGAACUUAAGACAGAUGUCGAUGCAUAUGUAGCUUCAAUAAAAGAGUCAUGGGUUCAAUCAGGAUGUACUUUGAUAUCAGAUCUUUGGUUGAAUAUGAAAAACCGGUCAUUCCUCAAUGUUGUUGCAUCUUGUCCAAAGGGAUCAGUUUUUAUAAAUGCAUUUGAGGUAUCUGAGCAUAGCAUAACUGGAUUAUUUCUUAAAAAGAUUCUUGUUCAAGUCAUUGAGGAGUUAGGACUACAAAAUACUGUUCAUCUUAUGACUGACAAUGAAUCAAAUUAUAUACUUGCUGGUGAUCUAAUAUAAUCGAGAUUCUCUCAUAUUCAUAAAACACAGUGUGCUACCCCAGGGGUUGAAUUUGCUUCUAGACGACAUUGAUAAAAAGGUUAUUUGGGUACAAAAUGUCACUAAGGAUGCUAAGCUAAUAGUGGAUUUAAUGUAUCUCCAUACCAUUGCUUUAGAUUUAAUGAGAAAUAACAUUAAUGGAAGGGAAUUGAAAAAGUAUGGUAAAACUAGAUUUGCCACUAACUUUUUGAUGGCUCAAUCUGUAUUGCAUGUAGAAGAGGGUUUGAGAGUGAUGGUUGCAUCCUCUGAGUGGAGAGCUAUGAAUUAUAGCAAGAGUAAAAAUGAUACAAAAAUCACAGAAAUAAUUCAAAGCUCCAAAUUUUAGAAUGAUACAAUCACUACAUUAGUGCAUCUUAUCAAGGUGCUUCGUUUGGGUGAUAGUGAGUGGUCAACCAUGGAAUAUUUAUAUGAAGCAAUGGAAAGGGCAAAGGGAGCACUAAAGAUAAAUUGUAAUGGAAAUGAAUCUAGGUAUAUUGAAUUAGUGAAGAUAUUCGAAAAGAGGUGAAAGGAAAAUCUAAUUCAGCCCAUUCAUGCCGCUGCCUCAUUUCUUAAUCCAACUUUAAUGUACAGUGGGUUUCUUAAACUUGAUAAUCCUGAAGUGAAGGCUGAUUUUACCUUGAUAUCAAAUUCAAUUAUCCAGACAAAACAAGAAACUGUAUUCUUUUCAGAGUUGUUGAAGUACCAUACGCGGGAUUCAAAUAUAUUUGAUAGUGUUGCAUUGGGAUUAUUGUCAACAGCUCAUCCUCGUAAGUAUCCUCUUGAUUAUCAAAUUUUUGUAUCUUCUUGUCAACAGCUCAUCCUCGUAAGUAUCCUCUUGAUUAUCAAAUUUUUGUAUCUUCUUGUAUUAUUAUUAUUAUUAUUAUUAUGCAGGAGUUGGUGCGAAGCAUGCGAAGAAAGCAUUCCACUGGUUCGAAUGGUUGCCAUUAAGAUUUUGAGCUAACCAUGUAGCUCAUCAGCGUGCGAAAGAAAUUGGAGUGCUUUUGAGGCGACUCAAACCAAAAAAGAGAACAGAUUGGCACUAACUAUGUUAACCGACUUGGUUUACAAACGAGUGAACUCGAAGAUGAUGGCUGCAUCACGUGAAAAUGAAAUUCGAGAUUGUAAUGCAAUUAAUCUAGAACAACUUGGUUCAUUGUCGGAAGAGGUUUCCGAAGAGGUGGAACAUGAGGAUACCUCUCCGGAUAAUGAUGGUGAUGAUGCAUGGCUACAUGACUUGGGCAUUACACAUUCCCAAACUCCUAACUUUUCUUUUGACUCUACCCUACCUUAUGCUUAAUUUUGAAUAUUUCUAGUUAAUUAUGUUUUGAAUAUGGGAUAACUGGAUGAGAGUCAUGAGUCAUCUAAAUUAAUAGACUUAAUUAUAUCAGUCUAGUAAAGUUUUUAUGAAUGGAUUAGUUAUUGAUGGCUUUGACAUAAUUUUUAUUUUUCAGAAUUUCAAAAUUUCUAACAUUUUAACUUAUCUGAUUUUUUGACUCCGAUUUUUUGAGCCCAGUCUGAUAUAUUGGCGAUAUCUUUACAUGAAGUAUUUUUUCCGAUCCAUAUUUUUUAUUCGAAUUUUCCAUCUGACUUUUUAAAAUAAAAACGAUUUUUUCCCGAUUUUAAGGUAAGCCGAUUUAUUGAAAGUCCCCGACUUGCUAACUAUGGUCAGGCCGAAUGUUCCUCAUUUUUGUAAGAAGGCUUUUUUUUAUUGUUACGAGAGGAUAUUUUAAGGGGCAAGCUUUCUAUGCUUCCCCUACAACAUAAAACUUAUAUACUCCCCCUUAUCCAACUAUCCAUUCUGUAUCGAGGGUUAAGAUUGCCCCAAUCACAAUGUUACGACUCUACUCUAUUUUAUUUUUAAUUUUUUUCUAUAAACUAUUUUGACACCAAAUUUUGGAUGUCGAUUCCUCUAUUAAACUCGCACUAGCGAAAAAUAUAUAAAAAAAUAUUUUAAAUAAAAUAAAAUGAACAAAAUACCCUUAAAAGUUUCAGGGUAUUUUGGUCAUUAUAUUUUAUUGAAAUAUUAUUUUAAUAUUUUUUAUAAGUGCUCCCCAAUAAGAAGAUGGUACGUACCAAAUUUUAGAUUCAUACAAAUUAUAUAAAAAAAUUAAAAAUAAAUAUUUUGAAACGUCAGAUCUAAGAUCAAAUAGUGAGUGACUCUCUUGAUCAAAAUUGGACGGCUGGAUGGUCGGGGGAGGAUAGAACUUCUAUGUUAUAAGAGAAGUAUAGAAACCUUUCAUAUUCUAAUACUAAAGUUAUUCUGGAACCGUUUUCAUUGAUGUCACCUCACUCUGGUAGCUUUUUAUUUAAUCCUAUUUCUUUAGAAGUUUUUCUUUGUUAUUUUAUUGAGAUAAAAUACCUCAAAUGGAAUUUUUUUAUCAAAAUUUUCAGGGAUUGGCCAAGGUGAUCAUGAAUACUAAAAACAAAUAAAUAAAAAAGCUUAAAAUUUAAAAUCUACUUUUUUUAGGUCAUUAUUUUUUAUAUAAUUUUAGUAGGUGCCCUUGCAAUGUGUAUCUUAAAGUUGGACGUUUGUAAGCUAACUCAUGUAAAUCUUUUUCAUUUUGCAAAGAUAAAUUGCCUUUUGUAAUCACUUCAUGCAUAUAUAAACAUAUAAUCGUUUUUAAAAAUAAAUAUAGGUAGUAAAAUUUUAAAAUAUAUCAUCUUUAUGUUUAAUUAAAUAUUAUAUGAAUAAAUAUAUAUUUAUUUUUGUUUUUUGUCACAUGUAUUCAAGGGAAUUUAUUUAAUAAAACUCUCCUAUGUAGGGAGAUAAUCUUAGUUUAUAAGGGGAGAGAGAAAAAUCUAAGAUUUUGAAGAGAGAAUGUGUAAAAGCCAUAGGAGAAGAGAUAGAAAGUUGAACAUUUCUCUUUCAAAAGACUAUGAGAAAAAGGUUUGUGUCAGUUUUAUCAGGAUCGGGCCGGCCACCAAACAAUUGAGAGCUUUAGAAAAAAGAAAAAAAUGUUUGAUAUAAUAGUUUAGAAAUAUAAAAUGUAUUAAAAGUUUAACUUUAUUUGAUCGAAACUUGUCAAACCUGCUGGUCCUCUCAACCAAAAUUAGUCAGACAUUGACUUUAGCUAGUUUUCAACCAAAUAUUAUUUUUACCGUGAGUCACCCUGACCAAGGUACCAAUCAGCAGUCUAAUCGGGCAGACCACCUGUUCGGUCCAGUCUUGAUAACUAUGGUUUGUGUCGGGCGAAAGGCUUCUAUACUUCUACUGUAUAGAAAUUCUAUACUUCUCCCCAAUCCAGCUAUCCAAUUUAGAUCAAAUAAGUCAUUGACCGUUUGAUCUAGAUCUGAUGCCUCAUAGUAUUUUAUUUUUAAUUUUAGUUUUUAUUCUACAAAUUAUAUAAAUAUAAGAUUUAAUAUGUGCUAUCAUCUCAAAGGGAAGAACCUAAAAAAAAUAAAACAAAUAUUUCUAAUAAAAUAAAUGACCAAAAUACCUUUGAAACUUUCAGUGGUAUUUUGGUUAUUUUAUUUUAUCGAGAAUAUUGUUUUUAUAGUUUUUUUAGGUGUGAAUUUAAGAGAAGAGUGGAAGCUCAAAAUUGGUGUAAAAAUGUUUUGAAAAAUUUUUGAAAAUAAAAUAGUGUAGAGGUGUGACAUUGGCAUUAGAUCCAUCUCAGCUGCUCAUUCAAAUCUGACGGCUAGAUAUAUAGAAGUAUAUAACUACUAUACAUUAGGGGAAUAUAGAAAGCUUGCCCGUAGCGAAAAGGUUUCUAUACUUCUCCUACUGUAUAGAAGUUAGGCCCUUGUUGCAAGCUUUUUAUACUUCUCCUUAUGUAUAUUACCUAUAUAUCCCUAUCCAACCAUCCAUUCUGAAAGGAUGGCUGAGAUGACUUCAAUCAUAAUGUCACUCCUCUGCACUAUUUUAUUUUUUAUUUUUUUUCUAAAAAAUAUUUGCACACCAAAAUUUGGGCAUCAACACCUCUCUUAAACUCGUACCUUUAAAAAAUAUAAAAAUAAUAUUCUCAAUAAAAUAAAAUGACAAAAAUACUCCUAAAAAUUUCAAAUAUAUUUUAAUCAUUUCUUAUAUGAAAAAUAUUUAUUUGAUAUUUUUUUUCAAGUGCGUCCCAUUGAAAUGAUUGCAUAUACUGAAUAAGAAAGGUAAUAACCUUUGUGGUCAAGUAAUACACCUUCGGUUAAGAAUUACUAGAAUAUUCAAACACCAAAAAAUGCACUCUGCAUAAUGGGUAUUCUGAGUUAUUUUGGAGCAGUGAUAUGAAGAAGAUAAUGAUGUAUUUUUUUAUUUCAUACUUCAGUGAUAUUGUGUGUUUUUUGGAGUAGGAUCUAUCUGCAAAAUUUCAGUCGAAGAUCCUAAGGGAAUUGAGAGUUAUUGACUCAUCAAUGAAUGGUGUCAUUUCUGAACCUGCAAAAUCUAGGAAUUGUCCAUUGAGUUACAUAAUUUUUCCCACCAACUAUAUGAUUUUAUUUCUAGCUAAAAUUGGACUGUAACUCAUAAAAUUGAGUCCACUUUCAAACAAAAAUAGUUUAAUCAAGAAAUUUCUUGUGGUUUGAAAGAUAUCAUCUAUUUAUUGAAGGGUGGGCACGUGUUAUUUUCUGUAACGAAAACUAUUUCAAUGACUUGGAAGUUAGAAGUUUAUUUUCAUUCUUAAUAUAAUGUUUUAUGGUCUAAACUAAGUUUUUAACUUUCAUUUUGAGUCUGUUUUCUAAUAAAAUUUACUUGAAAGUGAAAUAUCUAUGGAAAGGGGAGAAUAAAAAUUUUGGAUUUAAGAGAUGUCAUCCUAAAUUUUUGCAAUUUGGUAUGUUUUUAAUUAAGACAUAAAUAUCUAUAUUUAUCAAGCCUAUAUAACAUAGUGAUAUGAGGCUUGUGAAAAUAUAUAUAUUACUAUUAUAUGUCCACUUUCAAAAAAAAUUGGUUUGAAAGAGAAACUCUUUGAGAGUAGAGAGAAAAGAUAAUUUUACUAUAUAUUGUUCAUCCUGUAAUUCUACAGUAUGAUUUAUUUUGUGAUAUGAAUGUCACUUAUUUAUUUCUCUGAAUAAAAGUAUUAUUUGGGAUUCACACUAUGAUGUUACGAUUUGGUUUGAAUCUAGAUUUUCAACAUAAAAGAUUUCAAGAAGAAAUUCUUUGAGGAUUGAGAGAAACAUUUUUUUAUUGAGAGGUGCUUAACCUGAUUUUCUGUUGAGAAAAUUGUAUUGUGACGUAAAUGUCACUAAAAUGAAGACUCAUUAAAUUAUAUGAUUUAGGGAUGAAACUAAGCACUAUUUUAUAUUUUUUAAUCUAUUUCAAUACUCAAAAGGAUUCAGAGAAAAACUCUAUAUGAGUUGAGAGAUAUCAUAUUUUUAUCAUGGGAUGCUCAUGUUCGAUUCUUUAGUAAAUUAAAAGAUGUGGCAUGUUAAUGCCCAUCUUUGGAUUCUUCAUAAUGAAGACUUUUUUAGGGCUCAUUUAAAAAUGUUUUAUAGUGUUCCAUGAGUAUGAUUUAUUAUAGUAAAACUUAAUAGAGAUGUAAUAUAGAGUUGGCGACAUAUGAUACUCUAUAUGAAGAGUAUUUUAUCAGGGAAUAGCUGAAAGAAAAAAAAACAGAAUACAUAUAAAAGCAUCUUGGUUUCUUCAAGAUCAAGCGAUACAUGGAUAGACUUUGUGGUAGCAAAAAAACGCUAAAGAUCAGUGGGAGAAUCAAAUUUGUGAUAUUUAAAAUGAUGGGAUGAAGAAGAGAAUUUCUUCACGGUGUAAGAUAGAGAAAAUCUAAGUGCCAAAGAGAUAGACACUUCGUGACAUGUAAAACCAUUAACCAACAUAUUCUCCAUAAGUUGUGCGUUAUUUCAAGAUCACAAAAGCUUGUCAAACAAAUAAAAGCAAUGAAUCAAUAAAGCCCAUGUACCACACUACAUGAUUUUGAAACAUGAAAUUUAUCCCACAUUACAUGGUAAGGUCAUAUAAGGAAAGAGGACUUAAUAACUUUUUAUUUUAUGUUUAAUAUGCUUUGGUUAUAUUUUAGCUAAUUGUUUUAUGAAUCUGUAUGGAGUGUAUGGAAAUAAAGUGAUGGGUGCUAACAAAUUUGAAAGAGCUGAUUUAUAAAUACCCUUUGUUUUAAUGUCUCCUUGUGCUUAAGUAUGAACUACUUGAGGUAGUAAUACACAUGGAGAUGUGAUUUGAUUAGGGGCAAUAAGAAUGAAACACGAGAGGUGGGUGUGGCUCAUUCAAAUAUGUAAGCAUGAAGGGAGUGCUCUGAUGGAACUCAAUAUUAGUGACUAUCCUUCCAAUAAUGUCUAUAAUAUGAUGUGCUGCUUGUGAUGUUGAUCUCUUGAUAAAUUCUCCACCAUAUUUGCCAAAAAUGAAGUAUUUUGUCAAGGCUUUAAUAAUCAUUCUUUAGUAAUGCUUUAUUUUAGAUAAAAUUAUAAGAUGGUAUAUAUAAUUUGUUUUUGUGACUAUGAACUUGACUUGGUAGGAAAUUAAAAGUGAAUACGGAAAAAUGAUUUAAGCAGGCUAAGCAUAUAUUUUAAAAUUGGAUGAUUUGAGAAAAACCUAAGUCUAUGAAUAUGGUUUUGAGAAAACCACAUAGUCUUACAAGGUCCACUAAUUAUUUAUGAAAAUAAUUUUAAACCAUCAUAUUAUUAUCUAAUUAUUGCUUGUGAAUGCAUAUAUAUGUACCAAGUCAACAGUUUUUUUUUUAUUAAAGAGAAAAGCAUUGUGUUUUGGAGGUAUUUAUAAAAAUAAGAGAAAAACUAUUAUGCACUGGUUUUUAAAUACCCAUAUGCCUUGACUCAUGUUUCUAGUUAUUUAGAAUACUCGAUUACCUAAGACCUUGAACUAUAGGGAAUAUUGUAGGAAUGUUAUCUUGCAAGGUUUCCUUGACACAUGUUGUGUUGAUUAAGAUAACUUGGUUUGUAUGGAUUUACUACUAAGAUGAUUAGUGUGGUUGGACCUUUAUGGUUCAUGAAAGUUUUGCAUAUUGUGAAACCAAUGGGCAUUGAAUUACUUAUUAUAUAAGAAUGCUAAGAAUGUAUAUGUUGUAUGUGUAAUAAUUGAGUGAGAGCUACUACAGUCUCAUAGUUUUUUUUUAGUUGCUUGGAUAUUCAGAUAUACAAGUGCAAGCUAUCUCACGGAUCCAGAUGAUGUAAAAUCUACAUCUAGAUAUGUGUUCAUGCUUGAAAGGGGUAAAGUUUAUUGGAAAUGAAAGAAACAGGAUGUGGUGGCAUUAUCCACCAUGGCGGUAAACUAUGUCGCGUGCUGUUUGAUGGGCAAGGAGGUUGUAUGGAUUAAGAAAUUUUUUAAUCGACUUGACUUUCACCCCGUGCAUUGUGAGGCAAUAAGGAUUUUCUGUGACAAUAUGAUGGUGAUUUGUGUGUCAAAGGAGUCAUGAUUCCAUAAGAUCUCCAAGCAUAUAAAAUCAUAUUUCUAUCACUUGAAGAAUGAGGUGAGAGUGAGAUUGUAAUUGGGGAUGAAAGAAAGUGACGAAGACAUAAUGUAAGGCCUACAAAGUCCAAGUAGGAGAUGUUGGGUGAAUGUGGCGUCCUAUGAGUGCUUGUAAAAUGAAAUGAUAUAAUGAAACAUGAAUUCAGUGGGAGUGUGGUUCCUCGUGGUCCAUACUAAGCAAACGAUAUUUGUUGAUACUGAACUGUGUUUGACGGUCGAUGCCAGUCGAUUGAGAAAAACCUAUGUUACCUUGGGAUAGAAAAUUAACCGAUGAGGAUUUUAAUGGGUCAUCCUUUGAUGAGGUCGGAGUAUGCUCGGAUCAGUAAGCCGAGGGAUUGUGAGACCCUUGUGUGUGAUGGUGGCCUUCAGAAACGGGGGUUAAAGCCUCAUCUAUGUACCAUCACAUGGCAUGCAUAAUGAUAGACUAUUUUGGGAAAACAAACCACCUUUCAGGUGAAGCUUAUGCAUGUACAAGAGAUACCCAUAUUCGUCAAAGGAGGUUUGGUCACAUCAGGUCUAGUCGAUUUUAGCACGUCUCUAAGGGAGAACUGAAAUCUACAGACAGGGAUUGCGACCCCUUGGCUCAUCGGCCAGACUUUGGUGACCCACUAAUGAGCCCCUUUUUGGAUUGUGGGUCAUGAAAAACACUGUGUCGAUUUGAUAAAGCAAGUGUGGUAUGUCGUCCACAGUUGAAAGUGAAGUGCCCCAAUGUUUUAUUGAUUUAAUUCUUAAACCAUAUGGAUCAUUUUCCAAUCUAAUGAAUUUAAUUAUGUUUGUUUUAUGAUAUAUAUAUGAUUUUAGAAUUAUUAUUUGAAUUUUUCUAGAUCUUUGGAUAUUUUAUUUAUCAAAUUUGAAUUUAUAAAAUCAGAUAUAUUGAUUUUGCAUUGAUUUAAAUAUUCAAAUAAAUUCUAAAAUUAUUUUAUUGAGUUUUAAAAAUAUUUAAAAUUGCAUGGGGGCCCAUUGUGCACAUGGGCCCACAAUGGCCUAGAUGGUAGGCCCCAUGAGAUAGUCUCAUGGGUGGCAUACCCCACCCAUUUAGAAGCUUUCUAUUUUUGUGACAAGUGACUUUUGUUUGUCGGCUAGGUUGCUAUGUGUUUUGGAAAGGUAUUGGCUUGAGGAAACUUUGAAUAAAUUUUUGAAAAGUAUGAAAAAGCUUGUGCAUUAUUUUGGUAUGCACAAUAUUAUAGUUAGAAUUAUUUUAUUUAAUUUAUAUUGAUGGAAAAAUGGUUUAGAAAAAGGAGAUAAAAGUUUUAGCACAUUUUAUAAUGUUAAUGGCUCAUCUAUGGGAUAGAGGGCUUAAAUCGCUCAUCCCAUAAGUUACUCAAGAUUAAUGGUUCAUAUUCAAUCUCAUAAAAAGAGGUAAGUCAAGAAAAACCUUAAGAAACUCUAAUAUUAUUUAAAGCCUAUAAAAAUAUAUUGUCUGUACCAAAAAUCUCUACACCUUAUUUUUAUAUCUCUCUCCUAAGAAAGUUUAUAUCUCUCUCAUGAAAGCCCAAAGGGGUAUGUCCCACUUUCUCAUUUUUGAUCUCUCUCUCACCCACACUGUAAAAAGGGGUAAGCGUUUAGGCUAUUGGUUUCUUUUAUCUCUCAACUAUUGAUUUAUGGCUAAGGGUUUUAGGGUAUAGCAAAAGGAUAAUCCAUCUCUCUCAAACUAGAUUGUUAACGAAAUUCACCUAAUGUUUGAGUUUGUGAUCAAAGGGGUUUCAUGUUCUAUUGGUAUGGCUUGGCCUAAACGUACUUUCUCGAUUGAGAGUCAUCAGAUGGUGGUGACUCGAUGUGGGGUAUAAUAAGUCCAGUUGAGGUAAUCUUCGACACUCUAUUUUAUUUUUUGUCAUAUUUAAUUAUAUUAUCUUUAUAUUCUCAAGCAUAAUAAUUGUGGAUAUUUUCUUUGUUUAAAAAAAUUGGUUUAAUGACAUCAAUAUUUUUAAGAUAUUGUAUUUAUUAGUUUUAUUUUUUUUGAAACAAGAGUUAUUAUAAUAAAACUAAUAAUAUUUACCAAAAUAAUAAUAGUAAUGAAAAAAUAUAUAUAUAUAUAUAUCCUCAGCAAGAUCACAUUAAUCUUUCUUUCAAGAGUUUGAGUCAACCCUAACCCAGAUCCUACCAUAUAGGGUCAUGGUGAGGCUUAGACCUAACACGUACUCGGUUUCAUCUAGGUGAAAUGUACUCGGACUUGACCCAUCUGUUUGGGUUUCGCUGGUUUUUGUUGAAGUGAUGAGGGAGAGCAUGAGAUGUGAGACUGAGACGGAGAAAAUGGUUUUUGUUUAGCAAACCUCAAACGACCCACAUGGAGGUGGAUUCUGUUGUUUUUUUCAAUCUUUUGGGCUUUAGAUUACCCGUCACGCUCAUAUUUUAUUUCCCAGCCCUCUCCUUGUGUAAUCCAUUUCACGUUAAAUAGGGAAAUCUCGGCUGCUUAUACAUACCCAAACACCGAAAAAUAUCAUUUAUUUUUCUGUAAUAGAUUUUCAAGUAUGCCUCUAAUAAUAAAAUAUAAGAAAAUUGUUUUAUGUGGGCUGGACUGUAUUUCUAUAUACGUGGUUUUAAAAGCAUAAAGUAUCCAUCUUCAUCUUAAAGAUGGAUGCAAGUAGGUGUUCCAUCUAAAAACAAAAGAAACUAACAGUACUAAAAUUAUUAUUUUUAACUUUUAAAAAUUAUUUAUUUUUUUAUAUUUAUAAUCUCCAUAUUAGAUAUUACAUGUCUUUACAAUUAAGUCUUAAAAUCCAUCUCAAAAAUAGAUUUCUUAAGAGGGCCACAUUUCUACCUAUGCGGGCUUGGCCGCAUAGAAACAAGGUCCUAAAAUAUAAUAGUUUAAUUUUUUUAAAUAAAAAAACUCUUACUUUUAAAGGUAGCAACAUUAAACAAUCCAAUUAAGAUGCACCUCCAAAUUUUAUCGUAACAUGUAAUUUUAUUGUAAUUUUUUUUUAAAAUUAUCUUAAAAACUAUUUUCGUAUCUAGAUAAUGUAUUUCAAGAUGCAUUAUGUUUUAGACUUAAAAACAUUUAUUUUAAUAUUCACACAUCUUGAUGUCAAGAUGACCAAUUAGAGGUUUUUCAAACAGCCAUUCCGAUAGAUUUUUGAGGUGCAUGUGAUUCUACAUUUUAAGAUUGUAACCAACUUUUCCCUACUUUUAAUUGUAACUUUUUUAUAUAUUAUCAUAUUAAUGGUCUCUAUGUUACUGAUUAUAUAAAUCUAAAAUAUUAGGUGUAAAACUCAUCUGAAAAAUAUAUGAAGAACUGAGUCCUGGGACACAUAGAAACCAUGAUCGGAUAACACGAGCGACUGAAAAAAAAUAAAAAAUGUAGCAUAUGCUCCCGCGGGAUCAUAUAAAAGAAACUAAAACAGAGCAAAAACAAACAGAAAACUCAAUUCCCCAUCCAUGGCGCCCUGCGAACCCAAGGUCACGGCGCGAUGCCCCUACUGCUCCGGCCCAGGCCCAGCUCGUUCCCCUCCGCUGUCGGCCGUUGCCCGAUCGGCCAUGACUGCCGAGUGCACCUCCUGCGGCCGCGUCGUCGGCGAGCGUCAGACCGUGACCCACGAGCUCUUCUUCGAGCGCGCCCAGUACUCGCCACUGUGCAUUGUGACUCCUGAUCUCUCCAACCCCGCCAACCUCCCUCCUCCCAUGGCCGACGACCCCUUUGAAUCCACCGGCUUCAUCACCGCCUUCUCCGCGUUCUCGCUCGACCUCGUCCCCGUAUUUACACGAUCGGCCUGGGGGUUUUCGGGUUAUUUGGGCGAGAUGGAGAGGGUUUUAAUGGAGUUUGAUUCUGAUGCUCUGAGGGCUUAUUUGCAGAUAGUCGACGUGUCGAGUAUUUUGGGGGUGGAGAGGGAUAUAAGUGACCAUGCUAUCCAGUUGUUCAGAGACUGUGCUUGCACUACUUAUCUGAGGAAUAGGAAUGUGGAGGCCUUGGCGACUGCGGCCCUGGUGCAGGCCGUAAGGGAGGCUCAGGAGCCCCGGACUUUGCAGGUUAGUUAGGGUUUUUGUUUUUUCUUUUUUCUUUUUUUUUUUUUGGGUUCUUGUUUUUGGGUUUUUGAGGGUUUUUUGUGAUAUUUUUGGGGAUUAAUUGGUUCUUUGGAUUGAUGGUGUAUGGGGUUUUGUCUGGCUUUCGUCCAUUUGUUGGGUUCUUUUUUUUUUUCUUUUUCUUUUUAAAGUUAUUGUUUUGGAUUUUUUUUGGUUUUUUUUUAUUUUUGUUAUAUUUCGGUGAGUACUUUUUUUUUUUUUUGAGUUAUUGUGUUGGGAUUUCUUUUGGUUUUUCUUUAUUUUGGUUAUCUUUCGGUGAUUAAUUGGUUGUUUGGAAUGAAAAUUUGGGGUUUUCGCUGGCUUUUAUUCUGUGUCCGCUUUUUCGAUUUCUUUUUUUUUUUCUGUUUUUUGAGGGACUCGAUAUGUUUCGAUUUUUCUUUUUUUUCUUUUUUUUUUUGAUUGGUUGUUGGAAUGUAAAUAUGGUGUUUUGGCUGGAUUUUGUACUGUGUCCAUUUACUGUAGGUGGUUUUGGUCCUUUUUGGUUUUGUGCUUGUUUUUUUACAAGAACAUGGUUGGUCCGAAGCAGUGAGAAAACGAUAUGGACCAAAGCCUCAAGGACAUGGUUGGAGUAGUGAAAAAAGAUGCAGAUCUUAUAACCUGAGCCCUCAUGUGCCGUCUUGAUUGGAUGGCAAACCAAGAUUUUUGUAGUCAACCUCAAAUAGUUGGAGAAAAGGCUCGAUGAUGAUUUCUUUGCAAUAAAAAAUUUAUGUUCAUUGACACGUUGGUUUUCGGUUGUUUGAAUGGCAAUUUUGGGGUUUUGGCUCGCUUUCAGCCCGUCUAUUUUAUUGGGGAGGUUUUGUUUUAGAUUGUUUGCGUUUUAGAUCGCCUUCAUUCUUUGUUCAUUUUUGGAGUCGCUUGAUGGACUGGUAGUGUUUUAGUGUUAGCAUGUUUGGCUCUUUGGAUUGGAGGCUUUGGGGGGUUUUAACAUACCCCUUUCCCAUUGGAUUUUUUUCUUUUCCUUUUGUUAAUUGAAUUGGUUCUUUGGAUUGAAAAGUGCGUGUCUGUUUAAUUUAUUCUUUUGGUUGUUUGGAUUAGAAUGGGUUUUUGCUGGGUACUCUGGUUUUACUUUAUGUGCUACUGGUUUACUGUAAAUUUUAUGAUCUGCCCCACUGAAUUGGCUAUAGGAAAGUUGGUUUUAGCUCUCUAUCUCUCUCAUUCGAAAUUUGGGUAUAGGAAAGUUGGUAUUAGCUCUCUAUCUCUCUCAUUCGAAAUUUGGGUAUAUGAAAGUUGGUUUUAGCUCUCUAUCUCUCUCAUUCGAAAUUUGGGUAUUUAGGGAGAUUGAUCAUUUGGAAAAUAAUGCGCUUUGACCUGCUGAAUUGGCAACUGGAAAGAUGGGGUUCUUGCUGCUUCAAAUGUUGGUUUAAUAUAGCUUAGGUUAGAAAAUUAUGUGGUUCAUUCUUGAACCACCGGCUAACUAGUUAACUGUAUGCAUAAUUGUUCAUCUGGUUCUCUUCCAAUGAACUGGUUGUGAAAUAGAACACUGGGACUUACAGCUCUGUCUCUCACUCUGGCAUUUGGUUUUGGAGAUGGUUUCUUGGAUUGGAAACUUACCCUUUUUUCAAUAUUUAUUUGGUUUGUCUUCUGGAACUGCUCUUCUACGAUAGCUUGUCUGAUCAUUCUAUGUCUGGUUAUUUGUAAUUUCUAGGGGGUUUUGUUCGUGGGUGCUCUCACUCUUUCUGAGUUCAUGUGAAUUGGGAAUUUGGCUUCAUUUUUGUAUAUUGUUGCAUUCUCAUUUGAUAAUGUUUGAUGGGCAGUGGUUAGGAUUUGGGGUUUUUCCUGAAUUUUUCUUGAAUAUUUUGCUGAACUGAAAAUGAAUAACUUGCCUAUGUUGUCCAUCCAAUGCCCUAUUGUUUCUUCCCCAUUUUAUUAUCUCUUUGCCACUUCUGCAAAUCCUUCUCUUCUGUACUUCUCAUUCUAUGUGUGUGCAUGUACUAUUCCUGCAAUAUCUCAUUCUUCACUGUGUUUCUCUCUUUUGCAACAGGAAAUCUCAGCUGCUGCAAAUGUUCCUCAGAAAGAGAUUGGCAAAUACAUCAAAAUUCUUGGCGAUGCUCUGAAAUUAAGCCAACCCAUCAACAGCAACUCCAUAUCAGUGCACAUGCCCAGAUUUUGCUCUCUCCUGCAACUCAACAAGUCUACCCAGGUGCACUACUAUCCUCCAAAUUAUCUUCAAAGCUGAAUUUAUGUAUUCUUUUGUGUCUCUACCUUAUCUUCUGGUCAUUCUGGUCACUCUUAAAAGCUUAAGAUAAUUGUCAAGAUAUUUCUUAAGAUAUAUAGGACUCCGCAAUUCUACCCAUAUUACUCACUAGAUCAACUUUUCUUUUCUUUUUUUGAUUUUCUUUUCUUUUUUUGAUAAUUACUCAUGUUAUCAAAUUCCUACCAAAACCCAUGCUUUCCAUUUUUUUUUCAAGUCAUGCUUUCCUGCAAGUUUUAAUCUAGUCUUUUUUUUUUUAAAGUCAUGCUUGCCUCCAAGUUUUAAUCUAAUCUUACUCCAGCUCUUAAUUUAACAAUAAAGUGUUAACUCUUUGAAAUUCAAAACCCUCCAGGAUCUUGCCACCCACAUUGGUGAAGUUGUCAUAAACAAAUGCUUUUGCACCCGACGGAAUCCCAUAAGUAUCUCUGCAGCUGCCAUUUAUCUCUCUUGCCAACUCGAAGAUAAGAGAAAAACCCAAGCAGAGAUCUGCAAAGUUACAGGACUCACUGAGGUCACACUGCGCAAAGUGUACAAAGAAUUGCUCGAGAAUUGGGAUGACCUCUUGCCCCCAAAUUACACCCCUGCCGUUCCUCCUGAAAAAGCCUUUCCCAUGACUGUAAUCACCUCAAAUCGAUCCAAAUUGGAUCCCCUCGAAACCAUUUCUCCUACCACCUCACAUUUUGAAAAUCAAAAGCAGUCCGAAAUUCCCAAGCCCCCCAAAAUUCAAGAAGCCUCAGAAAAUGGCCCCUCAACAAAGGGCAAGGAAAAGGAAUCAGACCCUAAAACCAACUCUCGCUGUCCACCACCCAUUGUUCCUUAUGGCCUAAACAUUGACCCUAGAGUCUUUCAUGAAAUGGCCCAUGCCCAAGCGCCCUUUUGGCAACAGCCCCAACUUCUGUUUGGUUUGCCUGCUUUCAGGCCAGAGGGAGAGAAGAUUCAGAGGAGAGACCAAUUGGGUCAAAAGAAAAAUCGGGAUGUUGUUAUGCGUGAUGUUCAACCAGGCUCCUCACGCUCUUCGGAUUUCAAACAAAAAGUGGACAGAGAUGUUAAGAAUAUUAAUGAUAGUGAUGUGAAGAUUACCAGUGAUAGAGAUGCGAAUAUUAAUACUAGUACUAAUAGUACUGUGAGUAGUGGUAUGAGUAACGCUCAAUGGGGGACUCAAUUUUCAGGCGUACCAGGAGGUAACAUGUGGCCUGUUCAUGGGCAGCUUGUAUCGGGUGGUUAUGUUCGAUUUGUGCAGCCUCAAGCAGUUUCAGGUUUUGGUGCUCCAAUACAGGGAGUCGGGAGUGAAAAAGACGGGUCUUGUGGAGAUAGGGGAGUUGAGAGACUAAGCAUGGGUUCUUCCUCAGAUCGAAUGGAUUGUUUGCCGAUGAAGCAAGAUAAUAGUGGAGGGAGUGGGAGCACCCCAUCAGAUGGCCAUAAAGGGCGAGGUUGAUAUUCUUGCAUUAUUGGGGUUUGGCCUCUUGGUUAUCAUGGGGGUGUUAUGGGCUUCAGCACAAUGCACAAGUUAUGAGUUCCUGCUGAACUUUCCCAGAGAAAAGUAGCCCCCCAAAAGAGUGGAUCUUGUGUUAAAUGGGAUUUUAUACUGGGAAAUUAUAUGUACACACUGGGGAUACUGUGUAUGGUGUGAAAAGAAAGUUUCUCUUGCACAAUGUGUAUAUUGAAAAUAUUUUUAGAAGGAUCUUUGAAUGUCAAAAUCAGAUUUUGAGCUCCUCUGCACCUUCAUGUUUGCUAGGUAGAGAACAGUGUUACCAUUGUGCGUCAUACUUUGUCUCCAUAUAAAUCUGUAUUACUUUGGAAGAUUGAGCGACCAUGAUCUAGAAGCCUGUGUUUGUGUAUGUUGUUUUGUUCUUCUUUUCUCAGGAAAUUUAUCAGUAUGCACCUAACUUGUCAACAAUUUGAUAAUACCGGUUUUCAACUAUUCCAAUUCAUGGUAAUGUGUAUUUUGACUGGUGUUUUGAAGUUAAUUCAAAAGAUAAGAGAAAUAUUAAAUAUGAAAUAGUUGAUCUCUCACGUAUAUUUUAAUAAAAAAUAUAUUUAUACUAGAGUGAGGCCCUAAACAAUCAAAUUAAGCCACACCUCUAAAAUUCUCUAGAAGAUGUUGUUUUGAUGUCCAAAAAUCCUCAAAUCGAUCAUCUUGACCUCAAGAUUUAUGGACAAAAAAAUGGAUUUCAAGUCAAAUAGUGCUUUUUGUAAUGUAUUUUUUGGACAAUCAAUUUACAAGUGUUCAUAAUUAAAUUUUAUAAUUAGAUUUUAGAGUUAGAUUUUAUAAUUAGAUUUCAUAAUUAGAUUUUAUAAUUACAAGUGUACAUAAUUAGAUUUGAAACUGUAGAUUUUAUAAUAAGAGAUGAAAAUAAAUCUUAAUGCCAUCACAAAUACUUUCAGUACUAAAAUAGCAUCUUUCAACACUAUUUGAAGGUGCACCUUACUUUGAUUGUGUAGGGUCUCAACCUUAACAAACCAUACCCUUUUAACAAAGUUCCCUUUUAUGUCAUGGCUAAUACUUUGAACAAAGUUCCCUUUUAUGUCAUGGCUAAUGCUUUGGAUAGGUCACUUAGUUUGCAAAAUAGAGGUUAGAGUCCCACAUCUGGAGCUUGCAAACGAAUAAAGUUCCCUUUAUGUCAUGGCUAAUGCUUUGGAUAGGUCACUUGGUUUGCAAAAUAGAGGUUUGAGUCCCACAUCUGGAGCUUGCAAACCAUUGUCCCAAGCCAAGUUGACUGAGCAAUGUGAUAUAUGAUUUGCAGUGAGAAUUAACAUUGGUUAUAAUCUCUCUUGCAAGCCAAAUUAACCAAGAGAGUGACUUGGUGUUGUUUAAUAUACAAUUGCCUGAUGGAGGUUCUGUUUCUUUUUACUUGUCCUUGAGAUUACUCUAGAAACAAAGAACAUUGAUAAUUUUCACAACAAUUUAGCCAAUAGGGACUCUAUCCUACUCAUGUAACAAAAAAUGUAAAUUUAUAUUGUUCUUAUUUUUGUUAAAUAUAUAAAUUUAAUAUUAACUGACUUCAAAUAGUUGAGAUAAAACUCAAAUUAUGAUAUUCAUUAUAUAAGCCUCAAAUUUUUUGUUUAUUUACAUAAGUAUUAUCUUAUUGAAGUAUUACCUUGUCGAUCUGUACACUCCCACAUAAACGGAUCCUGAGGUUGUGAUGGACUUCCACAAAAUGAGGAGUUAUUUAACAUUCCAGGUUACACACACAUGUUAGGUUUUUGGGCUCCAUAUCAAUAUAUCCAUUGUUCCCAUACGAAUGAAUAUUGAGGUGACGAUCGCCUUUCGUAAAAUGAUGAGUUAUUUAACUUUCGUAAGUAGAUUGGGGGACGAGACCUCAACAUAACAUCCCAUCCUCCAUUCUCAUCGUUAACAUAUCAAACAAAAAAAAUGCUUGUUUUCAUGUGCUAGAGUGCUACCCUUUUUUCCCAUGUAACUCGAGUCAAGUUGGUCCAAGCACCUUGAAAGUUUAUUUAAGGUUGCAACCUUAUAUUGUAGAAAUCCGGUGGACCUAAAAAAUCUAACAAAAAAGAGUGCUCUGGAGUUAGAAAACCUUUAUCUCGACCUCAAGAUGUAUGGAUAUAAAGAAAAAAAAAAAUCAAGUUAAAAAAAUAGUGCAUCUUGUAACAAGUUAUGUGGACCGUCUAUUUUCAAGAUUUUCAAAUAUUAGAUAUGCUAAAUCUAUAUCAUUUUUAAAAUUUUCAAAUUUUUAAGUAGUGUUACAUAAAAAUUUUCAAGUCAUCAUAAGAUUUAUGAUACUGAAACCACAUCUCCAAACGUAUGCCUUACUUCAAUGGAGGCAACCUUAUAUAAACCUCAUACUUUAAGAAAAGCCCGAACAAAAAGAAAAGCGAAAAAAUCAAGAGGAAGAAGAAUCAGAACCUCGACCAGAUAAACAAGCAUCAUAUAAUGUUUAUCAGAGAAGUCAAAAGAGAAGCUGCUUGCACCAUGCGAGACUCGGAUUCGGCUUAUUUGUGCACUGACUGCAUAAAUAGUCAGGGAGCAUAGGGCAAGGUAGUGGAGCGUAUUCCAUAUUUGGUUGGAAGACUACAAUUUUUGCACUCCAUAUUGUACUUCUAUGAACCAUUUUUGACCUGAGCAAUGUUUGGCUACAUUUAUCCUAUUGAUGUUGUAAUUGUAGCUGUAGCUGUAGCUGUCGCUAUACAGCUACAUUGUGUAGCUGUCGCUAUACAACUUCAAAAAAAUGUUUGUAUUUUUAACGUGUCAAUCAAGAGUGUCAUCUGUAUAGUGUGUCAAUAAGUAAACAUGCUUAUUGUAUCUGUUUAGUAUGUCAAUAAGUAAACAUGCUUACGCCGACAGUCAAAGAACCCUUUGGUGAGGAAGAGGAGUGAUAACAACGACUCCUGGAGAAUUUGUUUGGAAUGGUGAUUUGAACCAGACCUGGCACUUUGCCAAGUCCUAGUGACUCAAGCGAGUCUGACCCUGACUAGCCAAGUUAUGAAUCACUGGUUUGGAAGAACAAACACACAUAGAAACAAAGGGACAGGCUGUAUAGCGACAGCUACCCUUACUCUCACAUACUGAUUGUGAAGAAAAUGCCCAUUGAAAAUAGCCAAGUAAUCUCCAUGCAAUAAUAGCAUCGAUCUAGAAACCUCACUUUCUACAUGCAAGAAACUCAACUCUCUUUACAUCCAAGGACUAAACGAAUGGCAUAAACACCGAAAAUGGAAAGAGCGGGUCUUGGACUUCAUCAAGCAUUAGUUUAUAAAGCUGAACAUUAACUCUAGAAAUUCAUUCACCUACUACUAAAUAUAUAUUGUAUUUGGUUUCGUGGAGACAAUAUAGUGAUGAUGUAGCUGAUACCCUGAUAGCUUUAUGCUCAAAUGAACUGGUGAGCAGGUCGGAAAGCUACUAUGUACCAUAAUUCUGGUUCUUCACUGAGUAAUCAAGAAUGGCUUUCACGACUGCUCCAUACUUCAAAGAUUUUAACCUCCCCAUGUGUCUGCAACCAUGAAAUCAGUUCAUAAAUCAGUAUAUUGAACUAUAUGAAUCGCACUGACAUCCACACCUGCAGCCACGUAUUCAGUUCAUAAAAAGCAGAAUAUAGCAUCAUAAUAUGAAUAAGUAUAUAUAUAUAUAUAUAUAUAUAUAUAUAUAUAUAUAUAUAUAUAUACGACUACUAUAUAUAAGUAUACUAGUACCUAUACGUAUAUAGUUACUAACUACUACUACUACUACUACUAGACUACCUNNNNNNNNNNNNNNNNNNNNUACACGUACGUACGUACUACCACCUACCUACACGACGACGACUACUUACUACGUAAAGUAAAUUAAGAAUUAGUAUACUAUACUAAGUAUAUAGUAAUAUAUAUAUAUAUAUAUAUAUAUAUAUAUAUAUAUAUAUAUAUAUAUGGCCACAAUAUGAAUAGAUAUCGAUAUCGAUAUGUUCAAUCAUCAUCAUCAUCAUCCAAGUCUUAUUUCAAUUAUUUGGGGUCGACUAUAUGAAUUAUAUUUUUCCAUUCUUCUCAAUCAAGGAUAAUACUCUCACUAAGAUCAAAAGUCACUUCUCACUACUUCUAUCCAUGUACCCUUUUGGGCCUUCUCCUUACCCUUUUAGAACCUUCCACAUUUAAUACUAACGCAAAAUAUAGCCAGAAAUUCCAACUUGCUAUCUCCUUAUAAAUUCUCUCCAACACACCACCCCGAGCCUGAAUUUCACUCUAAAUACAUGAUCUGAAACUAAUAUUAAGCAUGGUAUAGAAUGAAACAGGAACUUACACAAUCUCUGUGUAUCUCAAUCUCCAAGCGGGGAAGCCUAAAUGGCAUCGAGCAGGUCCAAAGACAAAGAGAAGAUCAGGCUCUGGUCCUCCAAAUCCUGGCAUCAUGAACACAGUGAAACCAGUAACAUGUCAAAAGAGAAUCACUUCAUCAUUAACAUAAAUUAAAUAGAGCAGCUCAAAUUUUUUUUGCAGUGAGGAGAAUUGAAGGUUUGUACCUACAUUUAGAUUGAAAUUGAAGUUGUCAGAAUAAACAAAUAAAUGGGUUUUGUAAGGUGAAACUACCUUAACAUCCAUCGCAUUUUUUGGACAUGAAUUACCCCCUCUCCAUUGUAAGUCAUUUGAGGAGAGGUACUUCUAUUCAUUUACUGAGUACAGUGAUGAUAAUACUCUAAUAAUUCAAGGGCAGGUAGUUCAGCCCAAACACACAUGGUUUAUAAAAUUACUUUUGCCAGUGGCCCAGGCGAACGACAAAAACUGCCCCUCCCUUGACUGACUUGCAAUCGAGGGAAGGGUAAUUUCAUGUCCAAAAGAUGUCAUGCAUUUGGCAAGCAUUCCCAAAAUGCCUAAAUGAAUAAUAACUAAAACUUGGAAAGAGGGGUUCAGACCAGCAGCACACAAAGCCUUGCCCAAGUCAUCCUCAGUUAUGCUCAUCUCAAUUUUCUGUCCACCUGAACCAGAAUUUUCUGGAUAGGUAGACAACAAAUAAUUUCCUGCUUUGGCGACUGCUUCCUUUGAGUCAGAGAAGGACAGGAUUUCCAAAGUCAUGACCUUCUUAUCCAAAAACGCAGCUGCCUUUUCUGCCUCCUGCCCAAGAGAUUAUUUGAGUCACAGAUUUAUCCUCUUUUUUGUCGUAUUGACAUUUGUUUGGAUAUAUGAAGGCCAAAAAAUGGUUUGUUUCAGAAUGAGAACAAUACCUGCCAUGCCUUUAUACUUAGAUCGCGCAAGUUCUGUGAAAGGAAUUUCUUAGACUCCUUCAAUACUCCUGAAUCACAAGAAGUGAUAACCAAAAGGCAUUAAGACCACUAGAAAACCAACAUUUCCCUAGUUUAGCAAAAUAAAUAAUAUCCAUAUCAAGGUUCGCAUCAUUUUUAUUGAUAUUGACCAGUUUGUAGGAAAGAAUGUGCGCAGGGGAUAAACUUUAUUUUGCCACGGGUGCUAAUAUACAAGGAGGCCCACAGGCCAAACACUUUGGUGUAAGCAGGUCAGGGCAGGUCAGGGGCAGGCCCAACCCGACAAUGUAUGAUAACCAAUAGAGCAGGCAGUAAACUUUUGCUAACCAACUGAUACAUUUGUUCUUACCAUCCAUAUCAUAAAGAGUAACAUGGUGCACACCAAUGUAUGAUAACCAAUAGAGCAGGCGGUAAACUUUUGUUAAUUGGGUUGCUUCUUCACUUUCUAUCACAAUUGCCAUGUGCUGCAGUUUCCGCAAAUCUAUAGAUUUGUACUUCUUCAGCAGUCCAGUUAAGAUAACAUAGUGUUGUAGCUUGUUCGCCAUUCGGAUGGCAAAAUGAAUAACAGAGACUAUGAGAUGGAUCAAGUUCCAUAAUACAGAAAGUAUAAUCCUCAAUACUCCAUACCUUUCCAGAACCUGCACAUCAUGCACAUCAGAUAAACCCAAAGGAGUUGUUAAACAGCUCAGUGUAAAUCUAGCAAUACCAUCCCCCCCCUCCCUCAAUGUAAUAAGAUGGCCUCAAGUUAAACAGACAUUCGUUAAAGAAAAUGUGAAAUUGCAGACAGGAUCUUCCCAAUUUAGUUCUCCACUUGGAAUUAAAAAGAAUGACCACAUAGCCCGAAUAAAUAGGUCUAAGCAGAACCUCUAACAAAGGUUUCAUGUUUCAGAAAACAACACAACUUUCUGACUUAAAUUCACACUAUAAAAGACAUUAAAUAGAACUUCAGUUUAUAACAGAAAUUGACAUUUGGAACCUAAAAAUAUGAAACUGAAUCAACAUUUCCAUAAAAAAAGAUGGAAUAUGGAUGUCAAUUGUCAAUUUUGAUAUCAUACAAAAAGGACAAACUAAGUUCAGCUGAUAUUUGCCAAAAGCACAAAAAAACAAUGGAACAAUUAAUAGCAUGAUCUAGAGAAGAAUAAACAAAGAGAGAGAGAGAGAGAGAGAGAGAGAGAGAGUAGUUNNNNNNNNNNNNNNNNNNNNNNNNNNNNNNNNNNNNNNNNNNNNNNNNNNNNNNNNNNNNNNNNNNNNNNNNNNNNNNNNNNNNNNNNNNNNNNNNNNNNNNNNNNNNNNNNNNNNNNNNNNNNNNNNNNNNNNNNNNNNNNNNNNNNNNNNNNNNNNNNNNNNNNNNNNNNNNNNNNNNNNNNNNNNNNNNNNNNNNNNNNNNNNNNNNNNNNNNNNNNNNNNNNNNNNNNNNNNNNNNNNNNNNNNNNNNNNNNNNNNNNNNNNNNNNNNNNNNNNNNNNNNNNNNNNNNNNNNNNNNNNNNNNNNNNNNNNNNNNNNNNNNNNNNNNNNNNNNNNNNNNNNNNNNNNNNNNNNNNNNNNNNNNNNNNNNNNNNNNNNNNNNNNNNNNNNNNNNNNNNNNNNNNNNNNNNNNNNNNNNNNNNNNNNNNNNGAAGAAGAAGAGAGAGAGAGAGAGAGAGAGAGAGAGAGAGUUGGAUUACUAAGUAUAGAGAACACAUAUUUUUUUAAAAAGAACUGAAAAGCAACAUCAAAUGGUCAUUCCACCAGCCUAGAGAACAUUAUCUUUGAAUAAAAAAAUUCUUGAAAUUUCUUAGAAUCAGUGGGAAUGUAAUCCUAAAGGAAAUAGCUUUAAGCUAUUUGUCCAACUAAAAGGAAAUGGAAUCCAAUUCCUAUUCAAGAAUCAGGAUAUGGCACCUUGACAUGUUUCUAGACUAGAGAGGACUGAGCUGGGACAUAAUGGUUAAACUACAACAGUGUAUUGCAACAGUCAUUUUUCUUUUCUCAAGUUACAAAUUGUACAUGCAAUUUUUCUCCUUCUAACCCAUAGCAUCCAACACAGCCACUUCCCAUUUGUUACUUGUCUUGGAGAUAAAACCUAGAACACAUCCAAUGGAGGUUUCACAACAAGACUGUAAACGUACAUUCUAGGGUUUUGAGCUUUUGGGAGAUGAUAAGCGGUGAAAAACCUCUCCAAUGACCCUAACAAAGAGGCACCAGUCAGAUUGAUACUUGCUGGUCGGGAGUCCAAGUGAUGCUAAUAAAUAUCAAGCAUGAAAACCUUUCCAAAUCAUCAAACGGUCACUCCAACUGUCUAGCAAAGCAGAUAUUUUAACAGAAACCCCUUCAUUGUUUAUUAGUACAAGAUUGAUUUUCAAUUGACCAUGAUUCCACCUCGAUUAUUUGCAAACCAUCAAACUGAUCCAUCUAAAGCUAUCAUGGACUCCCUUUUUAACAUGCUGUAAAUUUAUCAUGGCUUUAUCUGGAUGAUAAGUCUUAUCAAGAUUGAUGGCAUCUGAAGGUUGAGGCAUCAGUAAGUAGCACUAGUACAGAAUCCUCUUUUAAUUCUGGAUGCCAUCUCACUAGCUUCUAAUGAUACAUGUACCCAAAAAAACAAAAGCUUUUAGUGAUACUGAUUGGACAUCCAUGAUUAUACUGCCUGCUUUGAGCAUAUCUUCUUAGCAAAAAGUUUAUAUAAGGAUGCUACCUUAUAAUGUAGAACUAUGGAUGCCCCUCAAAAAUCCAUCGGAAAAAACCCUUUGAUUGAGAUCAUCUCGACAUCGAGAUGUAUGACUAUGAAAAAUAAAAAGAUUUUAAGUCUCAGAAAUAGUGGAUUUUACAACACAUUAUCUACACCGUCCCUUUUCAAGAUUUUCACACGUUUAUAGAUCUACUUGAUUUUAACCAUAUNNNNNNNNNNNNNNNNNNNNNNNNNNNNNNNNNNNNNNNNNNNNNNNNNNNNNNNNNNNNNNNNNNNNNNNNNNNNNNNNNNNNNNNNNNNNNNNNNNNNNNNNNNNNNNNNNNNNNNNNNNNNNNNNNNNNNNNNNNNNNNNNNNNNNNNNNNNNNNNNNNNNNNNNNNNNNNNNNNNNNNNNNNNNNNNNNNNNNNNNNNNNNNNNNNNNNNNNNNNNNNNNNNNNNNNNNNNNNNNNNNNNNNNNNNNNNNNNNNNNNNNNNNNNNNNNNNNNNNNNNNNNNNNNNNNNNNNNNNNNNNNNNNNNNNNNNUGCACCUUACCUCUACACCUACGGAUGCAUCCGUAUGCAAACUGCACCCAUCUUCUUAAUUGGUGAAUUUGAAUGGAUAAAAACCUCCACCAGUAAUGGCUACAGAAAACUACCACAUCGGCUUCUAGAAGUCCUCUUAACCCACUAAACAGGGGAUUUCAUUACAAAGUUUCCUAUACGACAAGGAACAAACUCCUUUUACCAUGACCGGACCUACAUGGAACAAACUUUUUAUAUCAAAUUGCUGGACUGUGGGACCUAUUGACUUAUGGUGAUGCAAUAAUGAAAUUAGACAGCUAAAGGUUUAAGAUGAUUAACCUUGUCAUAGAAAUUAAUUGUUUAAGACCUGCAUAUACGUAAAUAAUACCUAUUUAUGUACAAUCAAGGAAUCCAUCCAUCAACCAGAUAAAGUCGGAUCUCGAAGUCCACAUUUGGAGGGGUUCAUAGGGCAGUGUACUAGAGCAACUUAAUCUUAGUAUUCAAAUUCAAUUUUAAAAAGCUGUACUUUCCCCAUUUACAAUAUUGAAGAACAAGAUCAUAAUUGUUGCAAAUAUUUGAAAUGCAAUUGUGGGGCUAAAACAAAAGAGAAUCAAUUAGAUCGUUUUAGUGACUUACUAGGACAGGUGAUAUCCUCUGCACAAAAGGAACAUUGUUAAGGACUUCAGCUCUACAAAAUGCAAUGAAGAAACAAGAUAAAUGACAAAAAUAAAAUCAUUGACAAAUAGAGAAAAAGGACUCUUCAAAUUUCAUGCUCAAGAACCAGCACCCCAUAAUGUAAAAGAACUCAUAAUAACAAUAUACUCUACAAUAAUGAUUAGAUAUCAGAUAACAGGUUAUAAAUAUGUCUGUUUUGAAGCAUGAACAAGAACAAAUAUGCAAACUAAAAUUAGUUAAUUCUGGAAAGAAAUAAAUAAAUCCCCAACUACUCAUGUAAACAUGCAAGGUACCAAAUUGGGAAGGCACACCAAAUUAAAUUAGAAUAAUGCCAGGCAUCAGUUUUGUUGCAUAAAAUUAAGGUGUUACAUCUGCUUCUUUUUUCUUUCUUUUUUUAAUUUUUCAUCUGGUGUUUUUAAGACUACCCCUAAAGUUUGGGAUUAAACAAAUCCCAUUUGGAUUGUUUUCACAAGGGUGUCAAAUGGAAAAAUGAGUAUAUGUAUAUGCAAAUUUAUACAUGCGUAUAUGUGUGUGUGUCUAGAGAGAGAGAGAGAGGGGACCAUUGCUAUUUCAUGUGUAGCCACUCUAUGACUUCCAGCUUUCUUUCUCCACAACAAGGCACGAGUAAAUGAUCUUCUGAAUCUAUCUAGAAGUAGUUCAGUAUGUGACAUACAAUAUUUGCACUCAGUGACCCCAUGACCGGAUGCAUUUCACAUCCCUAUCAAUAGUUCAACCAUAGCUUCAUCGUACUGAUUAAGUUUCAUAAAUACUUUAUUUUUACAAUCUAAAAAACCAAUUAAUUUUUGUGUUUGCAGUAGGCAAAUAUUUCAAAAUAUCAGCAUCUAAACAAAAAAGAUGGAAUAUUUAGUAGCCCAAGUAGCUAAUGUAUAAAGAGAAAACUUUGUAGGUUUAGUUUAACUUUUUUUUCUUUUCCUUUGAUAAUUAGCUCUAUAAUUCAUCUGUACUCUCCUUUACUUCCCUGUUUAGCCUUUUUUUUUUUUUGCCUGAUGAGUCUCCCCUGUUUAGCUCUUAUCGGAGUUCUUUAUGAUCAAAUACAAAAAGAAGACAUGGGGUAUACCAUUUAUUGCAACAAAAGCAUUUUAACUAAAAUUUAUUUAUUCUUAGGCAAAGUCAAAAUAUGAAGAUAAAAUUUAUACGAAGCUAUAAAACAUAAACAAAAUUCAAUUCAUACAAUAAAGUGAAGUAAUGUUAAACUGAACAGUAGACACCUUCAUAUGACAAGCUAAAGAAAGGCUAACCACUAUGGUUAAUCCUAUGAAGUUUAUGGCUACUAUACGCAGGCUUUAAUUUCCAUCCUACCAAUGAGACGUUAUAUAAAAAAAACAUAUUCUAAUUUUUUUUAUAUUUACAUGUUCUUUAUAUUUGACAAUACAAUUGCUGGAUAUCAAAUGAAAAUCAUCAUUCAAGAGUUAAAAGUAAAUAAAUAAAAAAUAAAAUCUAAUCUCUCUUUUUUCUUUUUUUCUCUUUCUUUUUUUUUUUUUAUUGAAGAUACAACCAUCAUCAUCACCGUGGCAAAUAAUGAAAUCACACAACAACAAAUGAGAGGAAAGACUGCCUAAGAAAGGCAAACUAUUUACACGUGGGAGUGAGUUCAGGGUUGGCUAUGGUGAAGCCAGGUGGGGUCAGCUGCUUCUCGUGGUCUUGUCAAGUUGUUGGGUUUUGAACAACACAUAAGGCUCCAUCCUUGGAAACAAAAGACUCAAAACUCCUCCAAAACCUUAGCAAUCUGCCAAGCUUCAGGCCUCUUCUCCAGAAGCAAGGACCAGCACAGCUUGAUCCAAACUCGUAUAGGAGAGGGACACCCUAAAGGAAUAGCUGCCCUCAAGUUCUUGUUUACUACUGCCGAGUCUGCCUGAAUGGGAUCAUAUCCUCAUAAGGGAUGAUCCCAGCUGCCAUCUCCCAUAACACAAGCUCAAGGCUAUGAAUACCAACCUUUUCGCCAUAAACCUUCCAUUUAAUCAGCUUGCUUGUCAUCAUUGAUAGUUUGUGUGUCUUCUAAUAGAAAGUCACAAUGCUUCCCUUCACAAUUUAUUGCAAAAUCCACAAUCUAUUUUUUUUGAGGAAUAUGUUGACUUUUUAUAUAUGUAAUAAAGAAUUACAAAAGCUAGAUCUUACAAAAAACAGCAUCCCACAAGUUGGGUGCCCUUACAUCGAACAAAAGAAAAUAAAAGGAAAUAAAUAAAAAGAAAGUAAAAAAACCACAAUAGACAUAUAGAUACUACAGAAAGGGAUGCUCCUGUAGGUGUGAGGGCAAUGCUUGAGGAUCCUGGUGGACGAUGUAGUUUGCAACGACCAAAACAUAGUAGGAAUUGUGUUUUGUAUUGAAACUGUUCCUAUGUGCUGAGUAUUUCCUUAUCAGUCUUCAAAUUUGUUCACCAAACUUCACGAUGAUGAGGCAAACCACCGUUAAGUGAUACUACAGGGGAAGUUGGGAAGAUGAAAAAGUUGGCUUGUCCCUGUUAACAGCUUUCUACUGCUGCUAAAGACCUGUGCUCUAUAAGCGGAAGCAGUGUUUCAUAAACCGCUCGGCGGGUCCUAAGCAGCCUGGGGGUUUUAGGCCCCCCCAGCACCUAGGCGGGCCCCCAGAACCUGGGCAGCCCAGUUGAACCAAAAAAGGUAUCUACAGUUAUAUAUUGAAUAAAAUAUAUGAACUAGGUAUUUAGGACACAUCAGAAUUUAAAGUAUAUUACACAUUAGCACACACUCCAUAAGCAUAACCAUAAGUCAGUCCAUAAUCCAUAUCCAAUUAAAACUAAAAAUUUAUCAACCAAUCAAAUUACCAAACCAAAGUUAACACUUACUUUGGGUUUGAUUGCUCAAUCUCCAAACUUCCACCUCAAAGAUGCUUCUAAGGAUUCAAAAUCUUCUAAAACACCCCCCAAUAGUUUUAUAGAACAUCAAAAAGUAAAUAUAAUAUCAAUGGGUGAAGUUUUUUUGAUCAAUUUCUCAUAACUUUGAGAAACCUUCGAUCCUAACGAAAUCACCAAAAGACUAGUUUUUGGGGGCGUUCUCUCUCUAAAAUCGGCUCCAAUAAGUUUUCGGUUUCAAAUGGACCUAAAACCCCCUUUUGGCCCUUUAGUAUAAAAAAAAUAGACAAAAAAUGCCCCCACCGAAAGCAAUUUCCGCCUCUAGGCAGGACGCUGGACCUGGGGCGACCGCCUAGGGGUUUUCCUCGGCGCCCAGCGACCACCGCUUUUUUUGGGUGCCUAGGCCUGGGCGAUGUGCCCGGGCCCCAAGAUCCGCCUUCGCGGCGGCCCAGGCGUUGGGCGAUCCGCUAUUUGGAACACUGAACGGAAGCUUCUUGUGUAACCUCAAGGCUAAGGGCAACACCGAGAUGGUAGAGUAAAAAAUGGAGGGAAGAGGGAAGAGAGCUAAGUUCACACAAGUUACAACCGUAAAGUACCCCAGAGCGUAAGUAGAGAGGGUGAAAGAAGAGGUAGGUAAGAGAGGAGAGGUAUAAGUGUGAGGUAGAUAGAGAGUAAGAUAGGGAUUGAAUAAAAGUAAUGAGGUGAGGAAGAGCCGAAGGGAAUCUGAGAAAUGAGUAAAGAGAGGGAUAGAUGUUAGAAACAUGAGAGAAGAGCGGGAGAUUAAAGAGAUGGAAAAUGAGUAGAUAGAAAGGAGGUAAAGAGAUAGAAAAAGGGGGAGGAAAGUGAGUAGAUAGAAUGGACAAAAUAAGAUAGAGAAUGGGAUAGGGAAAGAUGGGUGGAAACAAAAGAAGAAGGGAGGGGGAAAGAAGUGAAGAGAGCAGGAAGCGAGAGAAUGAAAAAGAAUAAACGCGGAAACAAAAUUACUGAUCCACCCCCCCCCCCCACCCCCUUUUUAACUUUUUUUUUCCUUUACUUCUCUUUUAUUUUUUGUCUUUUUUUUUUUCCUUUUUCUUUUUCCUUAACCAGAAAACAGAAGGUGGAGGAGGAGGAGAAGAAAAAACAGGAGAGGAGAGAGAGGAUUAGAGGGUAGAGAGAGAGAGAGCGAUAAAAAUUUUCAAAAAGGAGGCUAUGUACCUGCUGCGCCCAUGGCUGCACCUUCCUUGGCCAAACGAUCCGCCACUGCAUUGGCCUCUCGGUAAAUGAGUGUAUGUCGAACUUGGGUGAGGGUUCUGCAGAUGCAACAACCUUGCUAAAAAACAGAGCUAAGUCUCCAUGGGGUCUCCUUGAGGUCAGACGCCCAAAAAAUAGUAUUCUUGGAGUCAAAUUCUACUAUUAACCCAUUUGAACUGUCAUCCAUAUAAGCCACCUUUUUUAGUCCUAAUAAUGCAUGGGCCUCUGCUUCAGUGGAGUCUAGUAUCCCAAUGUACUCCGAGAAGGUCCAUAGGGUUAAGUCUGAGUUGGAGAGAAUCCCUUAGACGCCAGAGGGACCCGGUUUCCUAAGGAAGAGUCGUCUAUGUUCAAUUUAGAAAACCAAGGGGUGGAGGUGACCAAAGGGGCCGUGGUCUGUGUGAGGGGGUUGAAAGGUUAAGUAAGCUGCUCCAGUUAUGCAGAAAAUGGGAAAUUGGGAUAUUUGCAAAGAGGUAUGUUUUUGGCCCAGAAGGACAUAAGGGAAGAGAUUGUAUGAAAGAUAGACUUUUGGGAUUUAAGAAUACCUCUAAAAGUUCUGGAGUUUCUCUCUAUCCGCAAGCUCCAAAGUAGAGCAGCUAUAGCAUGACACCACAGUUGUUUCCCAGGGGAGGAGAAAGGGGGUGAAUACAGAGACUCAAAGAGGAUAUUCAGAGAUGGAGGGUGACCCAUUGAAGACAAAAAAGCUUCAGGAGAGAUGACCAGAGCCCAAAAGAACUUUCACAGUGGAUGAAUAAGUGUGGAAUGGUCUCUUCUUCUAGGUGACAAAGAAUACAUCUAUAAGGGAAAGAAACUCCACACCGUAGCAAUUGAUCUAGGGUAAGGGUCUUCCCGUGAAGGAGAACCAAAAUGAAGGCUUGGACUUUAUGGGGUAUAAGAAGGGACCAUGACUUGUUAAUCAAGGGUUGGAAGGUGGGGUUCUUAAGCAAAGAGUUGUAGGAGGAGGACACUGAGAAGCUGCCCAAGGGGAAUUCUGACCAAAUAAGGGCAUCUUGACGGUUAAGAGCACUGAAGACGGGGUGCAGUAGUUGGAGUAAGGAGGUCAGGGAGGUAGUUUCCUGCUCUGAGAGAUUUCUACAAAAAAUAGGUGUCCAAAUUAGAUUGAACACACCUAGCUCAACAUAUUGAGCUAUAAAAGCUGAUUGGUUGGAAGCCAAAGAGUAAAGAGAGGGAUAGGAAAUGUUGAAAGGGGUGUGACCUAUCCAAAGGUCAGUCCAAAACUUAAUUCGGUGACCAUCGCCUAGUUUGAAUGUAGUUCGACUCAAGAAAGCAUUCUUUGUGAAUGAAAUGCUUUUCCAAGAACCGGAUGACCCUUGUGGUGGAGUUCUAGGCAACCAGUCUGCAGUACCCAUUCCAUAUUUGUCCCUGAUGACCUGCUUCCAUAAUAGUGGGAGAGGAAAAUUUCACUUCCCUAAAAGUGCAAGGUUCAUAGUUCUAAGGUUUUUUAUAUCCAAACCCCCAAAUUUUUUUGGAAUGCAGACCAUAUCCCAAGCAAUUAAAUGAUAGUUUUUGGAACCUUCUAGUCCAGACCAUAAGAAAUCCCUCAUUAAUUUUUCGAGUUUGCGAAUGACCGAAAUAGGAAUUUGAAAGAGUGACAUAUAGUAAAUAGGAAUGCUAGCAAGUGUGGCUCUAAUAAGCGUGAUUCUACCCCCAAAAGAUAGGAAUCGCCCUUUCCAGGAGGCAAACUUCCAUGUGAAUUUCUCAAUCAGGUGAUUCCAAAGGUGCUUCCUAGGUUUACCUAAGCACAAAGGAAGGCCCAGAUAAGAGGAUGGGAGGGUUUCUAUAGCACAUCCUAGCUUCUGGGCUAGACUCUCCAAUUCUGCAUUUUGGACCAGAAUGCCUAUCAUUUUUUGUUUUGGUGAGAUUUAUUUUCAUCCCUGUGAGAAGCUCAAAGGUUAUGAGAAAUCACCAAAGGCAGUCUUCAAACCCAUAUCCUCAACAAAAAGCAUUUUCUCAGGCUUAAGGUCUCUUUGAAUAACCCCUUGAGAGUACGCUUAUUCCAUUUACCAUGCAAUAUCUAAGAAGAUCUUUAUUAUUUUCUCAAGAAUGUGAGAGCUGCCAUAAGUUUGUGGAGGAAUGAUUUCGGUGCACCUCCCUAUAGGUAUUUGGUGAUGACACAGCAGACCACUCCAACUGUAUCACACUUGGGUGGUGGAGGCAAGAGAGAGAAGUAACCUAUCUGUUGAACUGCUUAAGCCAAAACUCCAUUUUCAUUAUCAUCACGCCGUGCAAUCACCUUCACAACAGCAGUUUGAUCCUUGUAAUGCAAUUGUCAGUUCAAUGUGACCCCAAGCUGCAAACCAUGACCCUACAAACAACUUUGAUAAAUCCACCAUCCAUUUCUUGAGCAGUCUCCACCUGUAACUCUCCCACCUCCAUGCUCAAAGUAUAUAGCCCACAGUCCAGCUUUCAAUUCUUGGAUUCCUUCUCAUCGAUUAGUGGAUGGCCAUGACAGGAUAGGACAACUCAUAGGAGACAAAGGAUGGUAGAAACCAGUUUCAAUGACUCUUAGCUGCUGCUUCUUUUCUCUUAGGGCCAGGAGUUGAAGAUCUUAAUUUAUUAUCACAUUUUGCUUCCUGAAGGCAUCAGAAAGAAUGGUCUGAGGUAUAGGGGAGAGAGAUCUAGUCUUAUUCUUCCAAUGGUGCACAAAAUAGAUCAGGUUUCACAAUUGGGAGAGAUGAAACCCUAGAAGCAUCCAAUCUAUGACACACAUUAUGCGAGUAUUUCACCCCCUACCCAAGAGCUGGUUUCUUCAACCAACUUGUAAAAGCACUAAGCUAACAAUAAAAAUGCUGGAAAGCACCAGUUUAGCAAAUAAGAUAUCAAAAAGAAUCAGAAAUGCCCAAGAAACCUGAAAAUGGAAAAACAUAAUUCACCUAGAGCUAACCAUAGGAAAUCCAUUCAGUGUCAGGAAACUUGAAACUCAGAAAAGGAAAACCAAUUUCUUUUAAGCCUUAUAAAAGGGAUUGAAUUCCAGUUUCUUUCAAGUCUUAUAAAAAGGAAAUCAGUUUUUAAAUACUCCCUACCCAAGAGCUGUUUUCUUCAACCAACUUGUAAAAGCACUAAGCUAACAAUAAAAACCAUCGAAAGCACCAGUUUUAGCUAAUAAGAUAUCAAAAAGAAUCAGAAAUGCUCAAGAACCCUGAAAUCACAUUAAGAAAAUGCUAAUUCCACCUAAACAAAACUCAUUGCCCGUCCUAUCCAAAAACCCAUCAAAAAAAUUAAAAAAACCAGACUAUAAACCCAAUUUCACUUCCAUUGAACCAUUAGGAAAUCUAAAUCUCAUAGUCAUGGAACCAUUCAAACCCUAUAAACCCACCCAUAACCAAAAGGAAAUGUGAAAAUAUCAUAAAAAUAAUUCCAAAUGGCAAAAUCUUAAACAAGGAAAAAGAAAAUUAAAAAAAAAAAAAAUACAACAAUAUUUUAUCUGAUAAUCAAGUGUAUAAUCAAUCAUUUUUGCAACAAACAAAAAGAGAAAAAGAAAAAGAUCCAGAACCAUGAUGACUCCACCGCAAAAACUAAAACUACCCACAAUUGACUCAGCAUCUAAAACCCUACACACACACACACACACACACACACUCGCAUGCACACACAGAAACACAGAGAAAGAGAGAGAGAGAGAGAGAGAGAGAUUAAUCUGAUAUUAACCUGAAAUUAAUUGACCCAUAAACACUUUAAACUAAAGCCUUUCUCAACAAAUAUCAUAUCUGAAAGAGAAAGGUAGGGCCAAAUUUACCCCACUGCAACUAUAUGUGAAAUCCGGCUUUUAUGCCAUAUAAAUAUAAAAAUCCAAGCUUUCUGAUCUUUGUACAAACUUUUAAAAUCAUGUAGUCCACAAAUGCAAUUCCAGUAAAACAUGGAUCAAAAUACAUCAUUCAUGCAUAAUUAUAUAAAAAAAAUACAUCAUUCAUGCAUAUUUAUCCACUUCUGCAACUACAAACUCUCCAAGCAAUCCAUCAUAUUGCCAAGAAAUCAACAGAUAAUAUUAAUAGUAAAUAAAAAGACAAAUUCACAUUCUCAUCUACAAACUUUCAGAGUAUUAAACUCAGCAAUUAGUUUUACAAGUGUCAUGAUAACAAUGUCAAAUAUAAACAAAUUGAUAUAAGAAAUUCAGAUUAUGAAACCAGCUAACUAGUUCCUCCAAGUACAUGAUACCAAUUUGAUGCCAAAUUACAGUGUUGCAGAAACGCACAUAUAAGAAAGAACAGCCUCAAUCAAAAUCCAUUAAAAAAAAAAACCCAACUGGAAUUAACAACUCCAUACCUCUCCAUUGCUUCUUCGAAAAUCGAAACCACUCGGAGACCUCCCCUUCGUGCAAGAACACUACUCAGAGAGCAACCCAAAGAGUCCUUUUACUGUGGAAGUUUCAAAAAGGCAAGAAAUACCCACACCCAAAAAUCAAAAAUCACAGAGAAAAAUCAUUGGGAACCCUCAAGACAAGGAGAAGAUAAACCAGCAAUAAAAGGGAAAGAAGCUAUGGUUCAUGAAAAAGGAUCGGAAGAGUUUAAUGUGAGGUGUAGAGAAGAUAAUCACAGGAUGGCUAAAGCAUAGCCAUAAAGUCAGUUUUUUUCACAAAUGCAAUAAAAAGGUAGACUUUUUAUGGCAGAAACCCACUUCUGAUAGCACAAUCUAGAGAAAUAGAAAGAGAGAGAGAGAGAGAGAGAGAGAGUACGUUCCUUACUUACUACUAGUAACGUAGUAAGUAAGUAAAGUAACGUUUACGUUAGUAGUUAAAGUUAAAGAAAGGUUAAAGGUAGAGUAAGUAAGAAAGAAAACGAAGAGAGAGAGAGAGAGAGUGCUUCAGCCCUUUUUUUAUUCAGCUAUACGGACGGUGCAGAUUCUUUAUAUGCUACCCGACAAAUAAAACCUAAAGAACUGGGAGCCCCUCAUCUCACCCAAAUCACCACUCUCUCUCUUCUCUCUCUAAAUUUUCCAACGCAAAAGGGCUUAAAACGCCUCCUGCAAAACCAGAGACCCAGGCCAAAUGGAAAAGGUCCUAUUUUUUAUUUUUUUGACGGUUAAAAAAGGCCCUAAUUCAUAGAAAACACAAUGCUGCUCACAAGGGUCAUUAAGGACCAUCCCACAACUCGAAUCCCAAUCGUAGAUGAAAGAAACUAUUGCCCCCAAUCCUUGCUGAAGUUCCAAAAUAGAGGACUUUAAAAUCCCAGAAAGGUAUGAGUUCUAGAGAGAGAAACUUAAAAUUUGCACAAUUGAAAUUUGAGAGAGAAACUUGAAAUUUUCAGAAUUGAAAUUUGAGAGAGAAACUUGAAAUUUCCGAAGAGUACGAGCCCUAUCAACUGUUUGAUUCUUUGUGAGAGAAAAACACUUUAUAUUUUCGAGAGGUAUUGAGAUUAUUUCUGUAGAAUUGCAGUGAGUCAAAUGCAGGGAAACAGAAAGCACAGAAUUGUCUUUACCUCCAGCAACAACUGCUCCAAUGAUUCUAGAAUCCAGCUUAAGGAUGCAGGAUUAUUGCCUACUGAUUCUGAGAUCAUGCUUUGGGAUUCUUUCAUUGAAAACCACGUGCUUUUACAUGCUCUUUUUGCUAGAAUGAAUUAUCAGAAUUGCUGCUUGUUUUUUUCUUGUAAUAUUGGCAAAUGCUGAUCAUUCGUAUGAGAGAAAAAAAAAAAAUUGAUCUGCACUGUAAUUAAGUGGGGAAGACAAGCCCCUGCCUGUUUUUUCUAAGUAGAUUAGGAGUUAACUUUUUGAAAGUGUUAAUGGGGUGGUGGAAAUGAAAACCACCACCACAACUCUAACCCUUUUCCGAGGAAAUGACCAUUUCCAUCUAAUAUCCGCUUGAACCAUUCAGAUAAUUUUCAGAAAACUAUUAAAGUUCUUUGGCCGCAUGGAUUGAUAUCCCUCUACCAAAAUAUUCAAUAUAGAGAUUGUAUAUUAAAAGACCAUUUAUUGCUUACAAGAAAGUCAUAAUCAAAAGGCCAAAAUCAUGUUUUAAAUUUGAAAUUAGCAUGCUAGGUUUCUACCUAUAAAAAUUAUUCUAAGUUGAAUAGUAUAUCUCCAAUUAUCAAAUUUCACAUCUAACAGUCAUAAGUAAUUGUGACAUUUUUUUACCAAAAACAAACACCAUUCUUAUUUGUAUUUUCCUUCUAACCUAUCCUCAUUUUUUGUAUUGUAGGUAUUAUAAAAAUUAGGUUUUGGUUUCUUCCAUUACUGGUUAAGGUGUAGGUAUUAUAAAAAUUAGGUUUUGGUUUCUUCCAUUAGUGGUUAAGGUGUAGGUAUUAUAAAAAUUAGGUUUUGGUUUCUUCCAUUAGUGGUUAAGGUGUAGGUAUUAUAAAAAUUAGGUUUUGGUUUCUUCCAUCAGUGGUUAAGGUGUGAAGGUGCAAGGACCAACUCCAACCUCAAAUUUUAGAUUCAACAAGUUUCAACUUAUGACUUCCUUAACAAAAAUUUUAAUUUUUGGCUCAUAAUAAUCCUCUCUUUAUAAACCUCUUUGGAAAUUAACUAUCUCUAUUACCCUCAAAGCUUUGAUUAACAUAAAAAUUUUUGAGGUCCACAAUACUGUCUCACACUCAAAAACUCUUCUCUUUCUUCCUCUCUCACUCUAAGUUUUCUCUCUAAUAAAACACAAAAGUUUGUCUCCUUAAAAAAAAAUUUCUCUCUCUAAAAAAGCACAAAGGGGAGCCUAUACAUGACUGGUGCAUGUUUCAAGAAGCUAAUGACCUCAGUAAUGAAGUGAUCAAUAUCUUUGUACUCGAGAGAAGACAACAAAAAAAGUCAUUUCACAUACUCACGUGUAUGGACUGAAUUGCCCCUUGGAAUCUUGAUAUGAGGCCCCCAAUAAAUUUUGGCACUUAGGAAAUGGUUAUGGUGGUGGGGUUGCUCACUUAGUCACGUUUUCAACCCUGUUUACGGCUGCCCUAAAAAAAUUAAUUCUUUAAUCUAUAUAAAAAAAAAACAGAUAGGGUCCGUUUUCCCAUUACUCAAAAAAUAGGUCCUCAAUAAGAGGCGAGUUGUGGUGGUUGUACCCACCGCAUUGUGAUUUUCAUGUUGACAUCACCCAUUUAUACCUUAAAAAAAAAAAAUUUCUUUAAUCUAUAUAUAAAAAAACAAGUAAAGGCUUAUCUUCAAUAUUGAAUUAAAACUAAAAAAAAUAAAAAAAUAAAAAAAUAAAAUUAAAAAUAAAAAUUAUAGCCCUACCAAAUAGAGAUAAUCCCAAUUAUAAAUUAUGUGGUUCCCGCUGCGGCAUCCAACUUCUGGCUUUUGUGUAUUAGUACUUGAGGACAUGUAGCAUCAAUUAUGACUUUAUUGGAAAACUUUUGGCUUUUACGUAUUAACAAUUGAAGAAUGUAGCAUUAAUUAUGACUAAAUUGGAAAACUUUUGGCUUUUGUGUAUUAAUACUCGAGGUCAUGUAGCAUUAAUUACGACUUUAUUGGAAAAUAUGGUGGAAAAUUUUAUUUAAAGCAUAUUUGAAAGGGAAGUCUUUUAUUUAAUUAAUUUUUUAUUUUUCAAGGAGCUUAUGGGUAAAUAUUUUAGAUAUUUGAAUAAAAAAAGAUUUGCUUCCAUGUUGAGGAUUGUUAGCUUCAAAGCCUAUUUCAUAGUCCCAAAUUUAAGAAUCAUCUUUUGAAGAUUAUGCAUUUUGGUUAUUUUGGCAUUGUAAUUACAAUAAAAAAAAAAGGAAAAAAAAUACAUAGAGCCAAGGCUCUAAACAAUCAAGUUUGAGCCUAUCUCAAAUAUUUCACUAGAAGACAUUGUUUUGAUACCCAGGUAUCUUCAAAUUGAUCAUCUCGACAUCAAGAUGCAUAGACAUGAGAAAAAAAUGGAUUUUUAAGUUGUGAAAAUAGUGUAUUUUAUAAUGCUUUUUUAGACCGUCAAUUUUCAAGUUUUCAUAGAUAUGUCGAUCCACACUAUUUUUGAAGCUUUAAACUUUGUAAAUAAAUAUAAAAAUAUUUUUUAAAGCUGUUAUAGAGAUUUUCAGUAUUGAAACUACAUUUCUUGAUGCUAUUUGAAAGUAGGCUCUAAUUUGAUUGUUUAGAGCCUAGGCUCUAUGCAAACCGCACCCAUAAAAAAAAAAAAAACAAAGUGGAAAUGGCAGGUGCCUCAUGCUGGUACUAUUGAAAAGCUUUCUAAAAACUUAGCCAUGAAGAAUACUUAAAAUAUUCAAUUUAGAGACUACUACUGGUAGAUUUUAUAAAUGCCAUAAUACGCAGAAGAAUGACAAUACAUUUUACUAUAAAAUAUAAGCAAAGAUAGAUGGAAAUAAAACUAAAUCAAGGAACAAAGGAAAAUCACUAAUAUAAUUUUAAUGUACUUAUCUACUGUUAGAUGGAAUUUAAAAAUUAUUUCUACAUCGUAAAACAUUAUACCAAAAUAUCAUAGUCUUGAGAACUUAAAAACUCAUUGUGAAAAAUUUGGAAAAUAAUCAUAAGCAAAUUUUAUAAUAUAGAAAAAUUGCUUAAAAUAACUUUGAUUUUUAUAUUUUCAAAAGCUAUAAAAAGAAAGAUGUUACUAAAGAUUUUUUGUAGUGUUAGAAAUUCAACAUUUAUAAAUAUAAGAUGUCGAAGACUGAUUUUCUACUAUUAUAAUAGGUACAUCAUUUUUUAUUUGAGACACUUUGAAAUUUGAAAAUUUUAAAAAAUAAAUAAAAUUGGUUUCAUUGUGUUUAAAAAAGUCUAAAAGGAGAUAAAGUUUGUUUCUUGCUUUCAGUGAAGAAAAUAUUAUUAACUUCAAAAUAUUGAAAAAAUGUAAUAAAAAAUAGGAAUUACUCAUAGAUAUUUACUCAUAGAUAUUUUGGAUACAUAAAAUUUAUAGAUAAAAAUUGGCAUGCUAGUAUAGAACAGUUAUAAUUUUCUAAUAAAAUUAUUUAAAAAGUAUGAAAUGCAUAAAUAUUUAAUUAAACAAGAGUAAAUAAAUAAUGAUAGCACUUGAAAAUUAUAAAAAAAAAAUUUCUGAAAAUAAAACUUCAUUUUUUCUAAGUAAAACUUGAAAUGAAAUUUCUUUGUAUUUAAAAUUUGGGUGCAGUUGGCAUACGGAUGCAUCCGUAGCAGUAGAGGUAAGAUGCACCUUCAAAUUUUAUCAUAGUAUAUAAUUUUGAUGUAAAAUGUUUAUCUAAUUAUAAAAUUUUAAAUUUCAAAAUGCCUAAAAUCAACUAGAUCUAUAAACAUAUGAAAAUCUUGAAAAUGGACGGUGUAGAUAAUAUGUUGUAAAAUGCACUAUUUCUAAAACUUAAAAUCUUUUUAUUUUUCAUAGUCGUACAUCUUGAUGUCGAGAUGAUCAAUCAAAGGUUUUUUCAACAUUAAAACUACCUUUCUUGAUGGAUUUUUUGAGGUGCAUCCGUAGUUCUACAUUAUAAGGUUGCGUUCCAAGGAAAAAGUUUAUAUAGAGCUGAGGCUCUAAACCAUCAAAUUGGAGCCUACCUCAAAACUUUCACUAGAAGAGUUGUUUUGAUUCCCAAAUAUCCUCAAACUAACCAUCUCGAUAUCAAGAUGCAUGAACAUGAGAAAAAAAAAAUGGAUUUCAUGUUCUGGAAAUAGUGUAUUUUGUAAUGCAUUUUGGACCGUCAAUUUUCAAGAUUUUUAAGUUUUCAUAGAUUUGUUGAUCUACACUAAUUUUGAAGCUUUAAACUUUAUAAAUAAAGAUGAAAAUAUAUUUUAAAACUAUCACAAUGAAUUUCCAUAUGGAAACCAUACUUAUCGACACUAUUUGAAGGUAGGCUCUUAUUGGUUGUUUAGGGCCUAGGCUCUAUACAAAUCGCACCCUUUUAGAAAUUAGUUUCAUAUAGUUUUAAAGUCUUAAAUUAAAUUUAAAAAUUAUUUGGUAGUAAAAAAAAAGGAAUGAAAGAUAGUUUAUGUUUAUCUAUUUUCAUAGAAAACAAUGCAUAAUUUUUAUGAAGCAUUUUAUAAAUUAUUAAAAUGUUUAUUUUUUAAAAAAAAACUAAAAUGUAUCUGACAAAAAUAAGUUAUUGGUAAUAAUAUAAAAUAAUAAAGUAAGUUUAUAUUUGAUUAAAAAUAAAAAAUACAAAGGAAAUCGAAAAAAAGAAAAUCUAAAUUACAUACAUAAAAUACAAAAAAAUUAUGAAAAACUCUAAAUAUCUACAAAGGAAAUCCAAUCUAUUUAACUUUUCAAACAUGCCUCUUAAAUUUUCGAUAAAGCCAAAAAAAAAUUAUGAUCCUAGGGAAGAAGAAAUAGUAAAUUAAUCACGGACUAAAAAAAAAAAGUCUAAAUUAUAAAAAUUUCUCCGGAAAUUUGAAUAAAAAUACCAAAGAAAUCCAUUCUAUUAGUUUUCUAAUGAUAAAAGAGUAAAAAAAAGAAAAUGAAUUUAAUUAAAAUGAUAUAUUAGAACAUCAGAUAUCUUAUUUAAAUAUUGGUUUUGCAGAGAAUGAAAAUCCAUCCUAAUUGCUCAAAUAUUUAAGUACCCAAGUUACAUGCUAUAAUGAAAUAUAAAAAAAAGAAGAUAAUAGAAGCAUGACAAAACCAACCCCUAAUAUACACAAAUACUAAUAAAAAAAAAAUUUGCUGAGAAAGAAAUGACAAAUACAUAUUGGCAACUAUGAUACCUAAUGUUAAGAUGAGAUACAAUUAAAUUAAUGUGAAGUUAGGAUGAAAAAUUAAAAAACAAAUGAAAAAAUAAUAAAACAACAUACCAAAGUGAAUUUAAAGGCUGUCAAACUUGACGUAAGGAAGAGAACACCUGCAUAGGCAUAAUGAAUAAUUAAAAAUUAGGCCAUGAUAGACUUAAUGUAAACUUUUGAAAAGAUUAUUAUUAAAUAUUAAUAACAACAAAUAAUUAUAAAAUUUAUUGUUGAAUGAUAAUGGUAAAAAAAAGACAAAAGAAUGUGAUGAGCUUGUAAGUUCUUUUUUUUUAAAUUAAUCUCUUUCCUUUUACUGCUCUCUCUCGCUUUUUUUCAUACCUCUCUUUCUCUCCCAUCUCUCUCAUCUCCCUUUAUACCCCUCUGCCCCGCUCUCUCUAUAAACCCCCUCUCCUUUCUUUCCUCUCUUUUCUUUUUCUCUCCAUAUUUUUUGAUUUUUUAAUUUUUUAAUUUAGUUAUUAGAUUAGAAAAAUAGAUUUAUUUAAGAUAAACAUUAUAGCUUCUAAAAGAAGUAUUGGAUUAUGAUAACGAAAUCCAUGAUCUCUUAGCUACAAAAGAAGUAUUGGAUUAUAAUAAAGAAAUCCAUAGAGAGUUCUAAAAUAAAACCCUAAACUCUCCCAAAAUUUUAGGAUCUCUCCCUUAACUCUCUCUCUUGGUUUUCAUUCCAUUCUUCUCUCCACUUUUCUUUCUUUUGGAAAAUUGAAAGCCAUAUAUACCCUUAAUUCUCUCUCUUCCUCUCUCAAUUUUACCCACGUACUCUUUCUGGCGCAAUCUCUCCUAAUCUUCUCGACCUUUAUCUCUCAUUCUCCUAAAUAUGGUAAGUAUAUUAUUUUUAUCCCUUAAAUAUUAAUGUCUUAUAUUAAAAUGGGUGCAGUUCGCAAACGGAUGCCUCUGUAGUUGUAGAGAUAGGGUGCAACCUUCAAAUUUUAUCAUGAUAUAUAAUUUUGAUGUAAAUUGUUCUUAGAAUUAUCUCAAAAAUUAUUUUUAUAUCUAAUUAUAAAAUUUUAAAAUUCAAAAAUGGUAAAAUCAAGUAGAUCUAUAAAUAUAUGAAAAUCUUGAAAAUGGAUAGUGUAGAUAAUAUGUUGUAAAAUGUACUAUUUCUCGGACUUCAAAUCUUUUUAUUUUUCAUGGUCAUAUAUCUCGGUGUUGAGAUGAUCAGUCAAAGGGUUUUUCAACAUUAAAACUAUCUUUUCCGAUGGAUUUUUGAGGUGCAUCCAUAGUUCUACAUCAUAAAGUUGCAUCUUUAUAUAAACUUUUUCCUAUAUUAAAAAUAAGUCUAUACUUUCACUCUCUUUCUCCUAAUUGGAGUUGCCAUAUGCAAAUUCUCUCUUUUGAACUGUUUUCCCCUUCAAAAAUAUAUAUAUACUCUUUCUCCCUUCAAAAAUAUAUACUCUCUCUCUCACUUGUCCUUUAAAGGAAGGAAUGUCUCCUACAAUUUUAAAGUUUUUUUUUUCACAACUUUUUAUUUUUGAUAGUUAAAAAAAAGUUUGGAUAAUGGUGAUGAAAAAGUGUUUUGAGGGUCCUAAAGCAUAUGUUUUAAUUGUUUUUUUUUUUUUCUUUUUGAGAUUAGUUUCUAUGUGAUGGAGGUUAUGCCUUGGAAAUUUUGGAUCCUGAAAAGACCACUCGCAUGGAGGAUGUCUUCAACAUUGGGGAUCCUAGGAAUACCACUUGGUUUUGGCCUGAGCAUGAAAUGAUUUGUGUCUGGUUUUGAAGUCUUUCACAUGCAUCAAUCACUUUUAAAUCUUUAAUACACCUUUGUGUCGUUUCCAAGGCCGACAUCAUUCACGUGAUCCAUCAGAUCAGAUCGCUAUGAUCUCAUGACCUAAGGUAGGGGCACCCUCCCCACUGAAUCACCUAAAAAAAAUAAAAGUAAAAAUCAUCACUAAAUUUUAAAAUCCCAAAAACAUUCAAGACAGGGUUUUUAUCCAAGGAAUUGUAUACUCUAAGCAAACAUAAAUUCUCUUGGAACUAUUUUAAUUGAAGGCUUUUGGACAUAUGCUCUGUGGUUUAGGCGAUGAGGGCCAUGGGCAGGUAAAUUUGGGCCGAAGCACGUUCCGGGUUGGAAAUUUGGUUUUGGCCAAGUUUAGGGCCAAGCUUUAAGCCGAAUGAUGGAUCCUGAGCUAGGCCCGUCCCAAAAAAAUUUGGGUUAGCGCCGAGAACCUUUACAUAGUAUUGGAUUACACACACACAAUACAUUUCAGGCCAAGCCUGGUACGAGUCAUGGUUGGCUUGGGCCUGGUCCAAAAAGAAUAUUAGGAGGUCCUAGCCCAGCUUAGGCUCGGCCUACCAUCCUUCUUCUAUGGCCCGAAACAGUCAAAGACUGUAAGCCUGAGGCCCAACCUGAGCCCAUUAUCAAUCCUGCAUAUAAAGGUUAACCCUCAGUAUAAUAGUUAAAACCAUGUUGAAUUCUUUUUUGUUGUUGGGAAGGUUUCUGGUGAGUCAAGGAACUUUAAGAUUGAGUACGAAAAAGAAGGUCCAACACCAAAAUUAAAAAGGAAAUGUAUAAAAUGAGACUAUUUGCUUUUUAAUAUAAAUAUGUCACGUCAAUUAGAUUUGAAAUUGAAUGGUUGAAAAUAUGUCAUUGUUUGGACGUAAAGUUCAAAAUAAAAUUUGUCGAAUGUUAUGACACACUUUCAUCUAUUGGAUUUCACUUCCAAUAGUUCAAAGAGAUAGUGACCUCUUUAUUCUAAAAAUAAAUAGUCUCAUUGUAUAUAAUCGCAAUUAAAAAAUAAUGAUGUUAAAAGUUUGUGAAAAAAAAUCAGUUCUUAGUUUAAGUUUAUUUCAUUUUUCACAUGAUCAAUAUCAUGGAUUCCAAAGAUUUGAUAUGAAAUCCAUAUUCGAGAUGCGUGCAGAUGAUACAAAGGCUGAUGCAUAGAAAAACACAUAGAAGGGCCUAUCACCAGUAACAAUAAUUUGUACUUAAAUAAAAAAAUAGAAAGGCCCAUCAACAAUAACAAUAAUUUGAACUUAAAUAAAAAAAUAGAAAGGCCCAAUGAUCAAUAACAAUACUUCAAUGGCCUCCAGUCUAUAAAUAGGAGCACCAUAAUAACAAUAAUUGAAGUAGUUCAAUGGCCUCUAGCCUAUAAAUAGGAGCACCAUGAUUCCAUGACUGUUAUAUCUGAAUUAGCAAUGGAAGUUCCUACUCUCACCACCCUCUUCUUCUUUGUAAUGCUGAUGCGCCUCUCUCUGACCUCCCUAUAGCUUGCUUCUUCUUAGAUUUUUCAUCACUUUUGUGCUAUGCUACUACUAAUUUUUAAGCCCGCAGGUAUAAGCCCGAUUUUUAGGCCCAUGAGGCUAUAAUGCCUUCAUUUAUGUGGAUUAUAUUUCAUAUAUCUUGAUAAUUCCUAUAAGCCUUGAUGCUUCCUCUUCUUUUUUUUUCCAUUCUUUUUUGUAUUUUGAGAUUUUUAUGUACGGACGGGGUUAAAUUAUCAAAUUUUGUCCUUUAGUUUAUAGAUUUGGUAAUUUUACCAUGAGGUCCAACGCCCUUUUUGUUUAUUAUAUUUUAAAAAUUAUAUCUUGAUUCAAUCUUUCAAACAUCAAACCACUUAUUUUAAUUUAUUAUUAUUAAUUUAUUUUAUUAUGACAUUUGUCGGGGGUCCGAUGUAUAUAUGUUGAACCACCCCAUUUAUAACGCAAUCCAAUAACUACAAUAUGGGACCACCCGAUAUAUUUGGCCCAUCCAUCUUUAUAAGGCAAUCCAACAACUACAACAUCAGACCACCCUAUAUUUUUGGCACAUCUUUCUUUAUAGGGUGGUCUUAUAUCACAAACAUCGGAUCACCGUUUUUUAAAGUUUGUUGUGUUCUAGUAGUCUCACCAUUUUUUAAAGUUUGUUGUGUUCUAGUAGUCUGAUAUUAGUUAAAUAACGUUCCGAUGAUCAAAAGCUUGGACCAUUAAAAUAGGAAAAGAUAUAAGAAAGGGAAAUGCGAUAUUUGAAUCAUCACACUGCCCCAUAAAUAGAGAGGCCCACUAUUCACCAUAUGUCCUCCUCAACGGACGGUAGGGAUGAGUCAAAACUAUAGUUCACCCCAACCGUGUAUUGGUGAGAUAAGAUAGUGGUGGUGUACCCGAUCUUCCACAAGGAGACUUUCCCUAGUUUUGGAUGAAGAAUUCAACUUUAAACCAUCAAAGUAAUUUGAAACCCCUGCGAAAGUCUAAAAACCUAAUUUGACCUGUAGAAAUAGGUUCAAAAUUUGUGGAGAUCAGGCAAUUUAUGAACACUAUGAAAAAAAAAAUUAUAGAAAAUGGACGGCUCAAGUAAUAUGUUAUAAGAUGAACUAUUUCCGGGACUUGAAUUUUUUUUUGGUGUUUUUUUUUCAUAUUAAAACGUGUAGAGGCCAAAGAUACCAAUUGGAUGGUCUUUUGGGGUAGGAACAUCCUUUUCCGAUGGAUUUUUGUAGUGCAUCAUGCUCAUGGGUUAAAAGUUUGUGGGUUUGAACAUUUAAAGUUUAGGUUAUCUUGCAUUAUUUUUAAUACAUUUCACAUUUUACAAUCACUAGUAUAUUUUAAUUCUAUCUCUUUUUUAAUAUAUCAUAUUAAGCUCAAAUUUGAUAAUAUAAUUCUCACUAUUAGACACCUAUAAAAAUAAUUUAAAAUAGAUCAAAUGACCGAACUGUCUAUGAAUAAUAGACGCCCAAUAUUUGAAUGGCAAGUAGCCGCAAGAGUUAAGAGGGAUGGAGCCACCAAACAAUGUGAUUUGCUUCGAGUGUUAAAAAAAUAAAAAAAAUAAAAACUCAAAAAUCAAAGUCUUCUCUUUUUGUGAAAAUAAUAAUAAGUUUCAUAUCAAGAAAAUUAUCUUGAGUAGCGCUUUUGCUUGAGGGAGUUAGCGCACAUUACAGUCUCGCGAGAACACGCAAUUUGUGCUAAUCUAAUUUAUUCAUGUUCACUCUGAUCUUAUCUCAUAUCCCAAGAAAAAUCAUAUGCUCUUCGGAUUCAUUUCCCCGUGUGCCCUACAUCGAUAUCGAGGGUUUGUACUUUUUAUUUUAUUUUCAUACAUUUGUACCUUAAGUUUGGUAUUUGGCCUCGAUCGUAUGCCAUCACAAUUUAAUAUUAUUACUAGAAAAAUUAUGUGUCGAAAGUAAGCAUCAACAAGUGGAAAAUAAAAAAUAAAAGCACAAAUUAUGCUAUAUUAUUACUAGAAAAAUAUUGUGGAUUGAAAGGAAAAAUCAUCGGCCAUGCAUGUACUUAUAAAGAUUAAAACCAGUGUUUUACAACCCCACGAUUUUCGAUCAGAAUCGUUAUAUGGAUGAGAAUUGGUGAAGAUGAACUGGUCAUGGGAUGUAUGGGCCAUGGAUAAACCCCCUAAUAUAUAUAUAUAUAUAUAUUAAGCUUAAUUAUUAUUUUCUUAUAUCCUCACCCUAUAAAACUUUAUUGUAAUUUUUAUUUUAUUUUAUUCAUUUUUAACAUUAUUUUGAAUCAUUGUUUCGGAACGAUCUGGACUCAACCUGAUCGCCGACCCCUAUGUAGGUGAAUGAUCCACCCCAGCAAUCCAGGUUUUGGUUAACCAUGGUGCUUUCUUAUUUGCUAUAGGGGAAAGUAUUUGGUCAGUCGGGACCAUUGAAAUCCCAUCUUUAAGUUGGACGGCCGAAAAUGAAGAUCCAACCAAAUUUAAAAUUAAAUGGUGUUAACAAAAUUAAAUAAAGUGUCACUUCUAAAAUUUUAAAGUUUAUUUAUUUUGAGAAAUUUAAUGAGACAACUAUGAAAGAUGUACCAUGUGACACUAUUUAUCUUUGAUAUAAGGAGUUCACAAUUAGUACUAGCUAUUUGAAACCUGAUGGAACGAGGUGUUACACAAAGUUCAAGAAAUCUUUUUUUUUAGCUUUGAGACCUAUCAAUCAUACACUCACAACCCCACUCGAUUUGAAAUCUAACAGACAAGAUUGACUGUGAGUUCAUUGUAUUAAAAAUAAAUAGUCUCUUUGUAAACUUUUUCUUUACACAUAUAUGAUUAUUUCAAAUCAUGAUAAUGUACAAUUUAGUGGGUAUUUUGACAUUAAAUCACAUAAUAUAUGUAAAAUGUUAAACUGUUGAUAUGUCACAGUUAUUUUGAACCCCCACCAACAAAAGAAAAACAGAAAAGAAUAAAGGCAUUUUAACCCAUGCUUUCAAAAUGUGUUGCCGAACAUGUAUAUGUUCAGCAUAAAAAUGUAUCGGACUGGCUUGUGCCAAUCCAUCACGAAAAUAUAUCGGAUUUACACAAGUUGAAUAUAGAGCCAGUCUAGCACAAAAAAUAUGUUGGGCAUCUCUGUGUUUAAGUUGUGCCGAUCUGAUAUAUUUUGUGUCAAACAGAGUAAAGAGAGAGUGAAAACAUGGCCAAAUAGGGGCUUUUUGGUUAAAUAAAAAAAAACAAAUAUCACGGAUUCCAAAGAUUUGAUAUAUGAAAUCCAUUUUUUUGAUGCGUGCAGAUGAAUAGGUCUGUCUUCAUGAUUUGACUGUACAAAGGCUGGUGCAUAAAAACACAAAUAGAAAGGCCCGUGACCAAUAAAAUUAAUUUGAAGUUCAAUAAAAAAAAUAGAAAGGCCCACCACCAAUAACAAAAAUUUGAACAUGAAAAAAAAGAUAGAAAGGCCCAAUGAUCAAUAACGUUAGUUAAAGUAUUUCGACGGCCUCCGGCCUGUAAAUAGGAGCACCAAUGAUCAAUAACAAUAAUUGUAAAUAGGAGCACCAAUGAUCAAUAACAAUAAUUGUAAAUAGGAGCACUAAUGAUCAAUAACAAUAAUUGAAGUAGUUCAAACCUAUAAAUAGGAGCAUCAAGAUUCCAUGACUUUCACAUCUGAAUCAGCAAUGGAAGUUCCUACUCUCACCACCGUCUUCUUCUUUGUAAUGCUGGUGCGCCUCACUCUCUCUCUAUAGCUUGCUCCUUCUUAACGUUUUUAGCGAGGUGUAAUCUCUUAGCUUUUCUAUCACUUUUGUGCUAUGCUACUACAAAUAUUUCAGCUGGAGGUUGGACACUUUAGGCCUAUUUUUUAAGCCCAUGAGGCUUUAAUGCCUUCAUUUAAUUGAAAAUUUUGAAUCCUUAGUUACCUUUUGGAAUAUCUUUUCUGUAUCUUGAUAAUUCCUAUAAUCCUUGAUGCUUCCUUUUUUUUCAUUCGUUCUAUUUUGUACUUUCCUUUUUACUUUGAGAUUUUUAUGUACGGACUGGGUAAAAUUACCAAAUUUUACUCUUCAAUUUAUAAAUUCGGUAAUUUUACCAUGAGGUCAUAUUCCCCGAUUGUUAUUAUAUUUUCAAAUUUUACCACGGUUCAAACUUUCAAACAUCAAAUUGCUUUUUUUUCUUCUUUUUUUUGACAUUUGUAGGGGGUCCGUGUAUAUUAUAUGGAACUACCCUAUUUGUAGGGUAGUCCGAUGACUGCAAUAUUGGACCACCCUAUAUUUUUGGCCCAUGCUUUUUUAUAGGGCUCUCAUAUCACAAACAUGAGACCACCAUUUUUUAUAGUUUGUUAUGUUCUAGUAGUCCGAGCUUAUGACACAAAGGUAGUAAAAAAAUGUCCGAUGUUCAAAAGCUUGGACCACUAAAAUGAAAAGAUAUGAAAAAGGGAAGUCCGAUAUUUGAAAUAUCGGACUAUCCCAUCGACAACGUUAGGUCAAAAACAUAGGGUGGUCCAAUAUUGCACCUAUCAGACUGGCUUUCGAAUGGGGCAGUUCUAAAUAUUUAAUAUCGGACCGACCUACAAAUGUCAAAAAUAAAAAUAAAAAAAAAUAAAAAAAAAUAAAAAUGAAAAAAUGAUCAGUUGGGGGAAAAAUAGAAAAACAAUAAUAAAAAUGGAAGGGAGUAGGACUUCGUCAUAAAAUUACAGAACUUAAUGACUAAAGAGUAAAUUUGGUAAUUUUACGAAGUAUGUUAAAAUCCAUUCUACUUUUGCUGACACACUUACUUUUUGCGCUCAUAUUGGUGCAGCUUAUUUGCGGUGAUGCAAGGGUUUUGGAAGAGCAAAACCAAGAAACCCCAUCUACAAACGACUUUGAUCCUGAAAAUGUCCUCUAUUAUCAUAAUUAUGCCAAACAAGAAACCGCAUCUAUAAAGGACUUUGAUCCUGAAAAUGUCCUCCUUUACCAUCAGUAUGCCAAACAAGAAACCGCAUCUACUAAGGACUUUGAUCCUGAAAAUGUCCUCCUUUACCAUAAUUAUGCAAAACAAGAAACCGCAUCUACUAAGGACUUUGAUCCUGAAAAUGUCCUCCUUUACCAUAAUUAUGCAAAACAAGAAACCGCAUCUAUAAAGGGCUUUGAUCCUGAAAAUAUCCUCCAUUACCAUCAGUAUGCCAAACAAAAGACUCCAUCUACAGAGGGCUUUGAUCCUAAAAAUGUUAUCUGGUACCAGAAUUAUGCAAAAAAAGAUGAAGAUAGCAACACUAUAUCUCACCAUCCCUUAAGCUCAUCUCAAACAGCAUCCACAAAGGAUUUUGAACCUGAAAGCAGUGUCAAAGAAAUGGACUCACAUUCUCAUAUAACCAGCCAUGAUCGUGCUCCAGGACCCGAAAAUGUUUUCUUCCACAUGAAGGAUCUCAAGGUUGGAAACAAACUUGACCUCUACAAUAUGGUUGAUAAAACCUUGGCAGCCACCUCCCCUCUACCACGCCAAGAAGCCGACUCCAUUCCCUUUGCAUCUGCUUCACUCCCUGAUAUCUUGCGUCGCUUCUCGAUCCCUCCGGACUCACCCCUAGCUAAGAAAGUAGCAAGGAACCUUCACAUAUGUGAGUCUCCCCCAUUAAUGGGCGAACGCAAGUUUUGUGCCACAAGCCUCGAGUCCCUGCAUGACUUUGUCUUAUCGAUCUUGGGGCCUAAAGCUAAACCCCAAGUGUUGGCAACUACCUUGCACAACGGAGAGAAUCGUCCUCCCCUUGUGCAAUCUUACAUUGUGAAAGAGAUUAUGCUUCGAUUAACACCACCAUAUCUGCCAGUUUGUCAUCCAAUGACUUACCCGUAUACUGUGUUUCAUUGCCAUGUCGUGGUUAAAACCACGGCCUUGAUGGUGAAGCUAGAAGGUGAGGAUGGAAGCAAAAUGGAUGCCGCAGCAGUUUGUCACUUGGACACUUCUGACUGGGACCCCGACCAUGUUUCUUUCAAGGUGCUUGGCAUCAAGCCAGGCACUGAACCUGUUUGCCAUUUCUUUCCAGAGACUCACUUGGCUUUCAUUACGACUUCUCUCGAGGCAGCCGUGUGAUCAUGA